rnacentral:lncRNA from 1 species
UGCAUUCAUGUAUUUUUCUUUCGGUCACGGUCUAUCAAAAACAAUAUCUCUACCUAGAGCUAUGACAACACUCUACCCUUUGUCAAAUCUUGACAUUUUUCUCUAUGUAAGGGACUUAAAAUGGACAUUCCAUUUAAUUGAAGGUUGAGUGAGUUUAAUAAAGCAUAAUGAGAAUCAAAGUUAAAACUUAUUAACUCCUCAGGAAUAAUUUAUGUUUGUUAGCCUGAAAAUUAUUUUGAUAGCAAGAAUAUGGGGUUCAGAAUUUGGCAUUUGGAAAGUUUUGUAAAGAUGCUAACAUGGUCCACAUAGAAAGGCCCAAUAGCCAUUAGAAAUCUAUUUUCUUCUUGCAUUUGCAGAGUCCAUUAGAAAAUUCAAAAUUAAGAGGCACCUCAUUACAUGCAUAUACACCAAUUCUUUCCCUUUCUUAAUUGGAGUAAACAUAUUCAAACAGGUACAGGCUCAGAGCUCAAAAAAGAUAUCAAAUGGAUCAAAGGAAAUCAGAGAAAAUAAACUUCUAACACAAACAUUCAUUACUGCAACUACAAUUUCUGAUUUUAUAAAAUGUCAAAAACCCUGCCUGAAUACUAAAAUAAAGCUCAAUUCCUCAAACGAAGUUGCAUUUCAUAACCUGAGCCCAAAAUUAAGAAGAAUCAUACAAUGGGACACACAACUGGGCGUUCUAAAGAGCUAGGUACUACAAAAAGUGAAGUGGACUAUUACAGUCACUCUCCUGUUUUCCGCAAUUCAGCAGCACCAUGAGCAAAGUGGCACCUGUCUCCAAAUGUGCAAGAUCCUUUAGCAAAAUUCUCACACAACUUUGUCUUGAGGUUGUUCAUUGGAGGAGCCGGGCCACCAGAAUUUCCAUGUGUUCUUCCAGGGCCACCUACAGGACCAAGGCUGUUGAUCAACUCCCUUACCAUGGCACUGGCCUGGGAAAUUUGUUCAAACGUGCCCUCUAACUCUAUGUUUCGGAGAUUUGCAUCUGUUUCAUGAUCACGGAUUGCCAGCUUGGCUCCUGUCUGCCUACAAAUCUGUUUAGAAUUCACUCCACCCUUCCCAAUGAUGGCUCCGGCCAGGGAAGCAUCCACACUGAUCUUUGCAGUGGCUGAUGUACCAAAGCUAGCAGCAGGUCCUGAGAUAGCAGGUUCCCCCCGCCCACCACCAAAACGACCUGGCAUAGAUCCAAACCCCAUUGCACGUGGAUCCUCUUGUGAAGGAAUGGUAUGCUUUCCAAUUUCCCACUCCCCAUGAGCAUAAUUGCAUUUAUCUCCAAAUUUGCAUCCCUCCGCCGUGUUGAAUUUGUUGCAAAGUUUGGUUUUCAUAGAAGGAGCAUUUCCAUUGGAAUUAGGGGGAGCUGCAGCAUUUCUCAAAGAUGGAGCUGGUGUCAAUUUCAUCAUCUGGGUCACUGCACUAUAGCCACCAGGGACGUAAUGAAGGAAAUGGCAGCUCUCACCAAAGGGGCAUCCAGCAGUGCUGCAACCCAAAAAAUAAAAAAAUAAACUUCAAACCAUUCCAAAACCAAAUUUCCCAUCACAAUUAGACAGAAUGGGCAAUGCAGGCACAGCAGAUGAAACCAGAUAAGAGUUCCAGACAAUUGGAUUAUGAUAUUUCAUUUGCAAUACUUUCCCAAACACAACACAAAAAUGCAUUGCACAGCAAUCGAACUUGGGGUCUCACUUUGCAUAAAGGGGAAGUGAACAGGUCUAACAAUUAUGAUUCUGGGAAAACAAUAUAUACAAGCAAGACAGAUACGAAAAGAGUAGGUGUUUAGAGUCCAGAGUCUAGGUUCCAACUUUCAGGAACAGGAAGAGAACCUCUUCACUUUGCUCCACACUAUGCAAUAAACAAAAUAAGAUAUCCACUUGCAGGAAAACAUUGAGUAUGUUGUUGUAUUCUUACCAACACACAACAAUUAAGAAUAAAUGAGAUCAUUAUCAAAAGAAAGACCAGCAUCUCUGUCCAACAAAAUCCCAUCUUUUUGCACAUUCAGCACAAUGGGGACGAGAAAUAUUCAUCAGAAUAAAUGUAUGUACUAUGCAUAAAAGAACCAGAAGAUAUAUUAACAGCUAAAAAUGCAAAAGAGAAAGAACAUUGUUCAGAACACAUAAAUCAAGAAACAAAUCACAGGCACAGCAUCCAUAAAAGGAACUGUCCUUCAGACACAAUAAUUGCAUCCUGGUUAAAGUGCCAAGCUUGACAAGAACUUCCAUUAAUCAUUUAAAUAAUUUUUGCUUGUAAACUAAACAACUAAGCAACCAAGAAGUAAAACCUAAUAAUUUUUUAAACAAGUGAAAAGACAGUAUCAUAUAAACCAUUAUAUUCAUGAGCACCAAAGUGACGGCAAAAUCCCAUGAAGAAAGUUAUUCCCAGAACUACAAAAGAAAACAGGGUACACUGAAGAAGCACAUCAAACAAAAGAAGCAGAAUUGGACCUCACAGGUGCCACUGAGUAUUAUUUUGCAUCUUAAAAGCUUUACCAAUAAUUCAUUUACUAGAAGACCCACUAAACUGGUUUUCAAGAUUAACUUCACUACCAGAGUGAGUAUCAGAAGAAUAUCAUGGGUGACAGUCAUUAAAUGUUAACAAGUAUCCCUACUAGACCAUAAGAGAUAACUUUUAGUAUCAUUAUAGACAUAGUCCAUCUAAUUAAAAGAAAGUGGGUCACAUACCUGUUUCAAAUGUAUAACUGUAAGGCACAGGCAAUUACAGUACAAAUCAGGUAGAGAUUUAAGAAGAUUGUUGGUAUAUUAGAAAUCAUUUUUCAUUUCUCCAAAGUGCAUUGUAGCUGGAAAUAUUAAUCUACACAAAAAUUGUUAACAAACAUUUGCAUAAUCAUUAAACAUCAACAGCAUUUUAACCAUUUAACAGCCUCACAAGCUGACCAGCAUAAAUCUACAUUUGUUCAGUUUGUGUCGCAACAAAAAUAUUAGCAAUUAUAAAUGUUGCACUUGACAUAACUUAAAUUCCAUACUAAAUUAAAGUUCAUUAAGUAGACAAGGAUUUGAACCUGAAGAACUUCGUGCAUGGCUUUGAUUUGCUGCCUACACCACCUGAUAUUGAGUCCAUUUCUGUUGAACCGAAUUAAUUAUUUAUACCAGUUAGAAAUCUUUCUGUUUACAUUUAUUCUAGAUGAAAAUUAGACAGAUAUCAUAUUUCUUAUUUCCAGCACAAACAACUUAAUAUGGUAGAAGUAGAAACUCCAGGAAGUAUGUAACUAUUUAUAAGAGGUUCACCAAAUCUUCUCAAGUCCAUCUUCAGAGAAAAAAUGGUAACUAUAUUGCAUCAAGAAAAUCAGUAUAUUAAUGUUUCCAUCAUAAGUAAGAUGUGCAUAAACGCAUCCAAAUUCUAAAUUUGAUGGGGUCAAUGCUAACACUUUUACAUUUGAACCCAUAACAUAAAUGGCAGAAACAUCCAAGUGUGUAAUUUUGUUGAUGAUGCUCCACAUAUUUAAGAUUUGUUGGGUUCAGCUGAAACGAUGUUUACAUGCUCCAUCACCACUAUGUAGGAGACAUAAAUAUGUCAUUGGACUCCAAAAGGCAAGGAUACAACAACAUACUAAAUAUAAUCCAAGCAGGCGGAGCAUGGGGAUCGUAGAGCGUACACAAACCUUAUUGCGCAGUAACAAGUAACAACAGCAAGAUAAUAAGCUCAGCGAAAUGGAAGAAACAAACAAGUAAUACUAUAGAUUUAGGAAUAAGCAAACAUAUAUAUGAAACUAAUACUUUCGGGGGUUUGGGGGACUUGGGGGCCUACUAACACUCUACCAUGGCAUACUCCACCUCCACACCCUCAUGCCAUGUGUAAUACCCUUAGUAAACUCAAGGUGCAUUAUGCCAUACCAAAUCAACUCUCCCCAAAACUCUUUAAGCCUACUUUUCUCUCUCCUUAGGCCAACCUCAGUCAACCUCUCCUACAUCCUCAUUGGUCCAUCUACACAUCUCCUAUGCACAUGAUACUACAAUGCUUAAACCUUUUAUUCCAUAACAGAACAUGCAUUGAUCUGUUCCUUUGGCACAAAUGAGAUAAACUUCAAAAUCCGCUCUGCAUCUUUCUGAGUACACAGAAGUGGACAGGAAGUGCUCUAAUACAUUCUACUCAUCCUCUCUUAUAUAUUCAAAAAGCUAGAAGAAUUUCACCUCAUAAAACAAGAAUUCGAUUUCUCUUUUUCCCUAUAGAGUAAAUCCUAUUUAUUUUUUUCGUUAAUCAUGGUGUCUAGUCCAGCUUUCGUCCACCUCAACUAAUUCCACGAGAUACCUAUCACCUCACACCAGCACCAGAUAUCAUGUAACUCUGUCCACCAAGACUCAUAUAUGAAAAAACACCUAAUAUAUUUUUCGUCUCCACUGAGUUUCGAACCUGAGAACUUAGGGUUCUAAACCACAUAAAUACUAUGAAAUCUACUAACUUCUUAAUACCAAUAGAAAUUCAAAUGAACACUCCAUAAUCCACACUCCGCACAUAACAUAGCAAAUAAACCACCCCUAAAACUAACACAAAAAACAUCACCGAAGAACUAAACACUAGACACUAAGUGGCAGAGUAAGGAUUUUCACCAAUUGUCUCAAAAUAUAACAAAUUAAACACACAACGAAUCAACAUCUGCUAUACAUACACAAAUAAAAAACAAUUAUAACCAUACAUAAACAGCGUAAUUUUCACCUGGCUUAUAUUUCUUCACACCGCCAUUAACAUUAGCACCAACAUCAUUUCUAGUCCUUUUUCUGAAAUCCAUAGCUUCAAAUUUACCUCACAGAUCAACUAAACCAAAAUCACUAACAAAAAUUUACUUUAAACAACAAAAAAUCAAGAACUAGAAGCAAAAUCGCCGGGCCAAAACCGGUAACCCGAACAGUAAAACUAGGGUUUUUUUUUUGGUGAAGAAAGGGGGGCGGAGUGAGUGUAUAUUAGUUUUUCCGGAUUUGAAUAUUCGGAUUUAAAUUUAGUUAAGAGUGGGAAUUUGGAAUCCGCGCGGGAUUUUCUGAAUUUUUUUUUUGAGCGAAAUCUUAAAUAAGGGAAAGUCACGUGCUGUGAUGUGAGCGUAUACGUAGCACGUGAGUUAUUGGACUUUACUCUUUUAGGGCUUUUUUUCCUUUUUUGGGCUUAUUUGUUGGUUAAUAGCCCAUAAUAAGUAAUAGGCCCAUUAUGAAGUACAAGUUCAAUUAGAUUUUGUGGCUAUUUUAGGAAGUUGGGUAAAUAUAUUCUUUUGGAUAUAAUUUGCACAAAUGUUUAUGUCAAUUGAGAUAAAUUAAGUUCAAUUUAAGAUCAACAAGUUACGACGUAGAAGGCAUAACUUAAUUCCUAUAUAACCUAUGUUUAGUGAGGUUUAAGUUUCAGAUUCCACGAGUUAUGUCGUAAGAGGCAUAACUUGUGUCGAGUGAAAUAGAUACUACACAACUUAUGCCAUAUAAUUUAAUUCUUACGGAACGAGGCAAAAGUUCUCUCAAAAUAUGUGGGCAUAUUGACCCACAUAUUUUCAUUACAUGAGCAAUAUGUACAAAAAAUAAAGACUACCCAGAAAUAGGGGCAAUCCAUUUUAAAACUUGAUGUUCAACUCGUGUUUAAUGUUCGCUUGUAUAUUGUAUUUAAAUGGUAUAUGAAAAAUGAAGUUGGAGGGUUAAAAUGAAACAAAGUUGAGUUGUAGUGCCAAAUGAAAUUAAGAGAAAAAAUAAAGAGUUUGUGUAUGUGUUAGCUUAUUGAUAUCUCCACACCAAUCUAGUAAAUACAUAACACAUCUAUUAUCAUACACUUUGUAUGAAUUAUAAUAGUUAAUUUAUGCAUAUUCUUACUUUAAUUUAUAAUUAAUCAUGACAAAUUAAUUUGUAUAAAUAAUAUCUAUAGGUAUGGUAUAGCAAUAAGUUCAAUGAAAUUAAAAUUAAAAUAAAAAAUCAUGUCAGGAUUAGGGGUGCGCAUCGGUCGGUUCGGUUCGGUUUUAGGUGUUAUUGGUUCGGUUUAUCGGUUUUCGGUUUGUAAAUACGUCAAACCGAUAACCAAACCAAUAACAUAUUUCUUAUCGGUUUUUGGUUAAUCGGUUUAUGGUACUUAACGGUUCGGUUUUCGGUUUAACCAAUAAGAAAAUACUCAUAUAUAUUAUAUACACGAUAAGAAAAUUUUCAAAUAAACCAAUGAUUUUUCCAGCAUUUGGCAUGAAAGUAAUAAUCAUAAAAGUAACAAUCAUUUUUCUUGCAAGUUUAGACACUAGACACAUUCAAAGGAAAAAGUGUGAAAGUAACAAUCGUUUAACCAUUAACAAAAAGUGUGAAAGUAACAAUCGUUUAAUCAUUAACAAUAAGACUAGUAAAUUUAGUAUAGUCUUAUUGGGUUAUCGGUUUAACCAUUAACAAAAAUUAUAAAACCGAAAACCAAAAACCGAACCAAUAACCCAAUAAUUUUUUUUGCAAAACCGUUUAAAAACCAUUAGCCCAAUAACCCAAUAUCAAUAAACCAAUAGUGUUUUUUUCGGUUCGGUUUAUUGGUUAAAUCGGUUUUUGCACACCCCUACUUUCAAUAUAAUAUUUUAAUUUAUUUAAUUGAAGUUGACAUGGACCCCACAAUUAUCUUGCAAUUCCCACUCAAACUUUACAUUCUCUCUCCUUUUGGUUUCAUUUUUCAGCCUUAACUAAUAGUUUGGGCCCCACGAUCCACAUGUCAAAAAAUGGGUGGAGCCUCUUCCAACUUUGGUUGGUUGGGCCUCACCCAUAGUAAAAAUUUUCCCACAUCAGCACUUAAGGGUGUUAAUAUUUCUGUUCAAAAUACUUCAAGGGGGUAAUAAGACCUCCGUAAAGUAUUGGUGUGUAGUUGAGAAUUGCGUAAUAGAUUGAGGGGGUAUUUGGCUGUUUUCUCUAAAAUAAUAUAGAAAUCAUAGCAAGUAACAACAUACGAUGAUAGAUAUCAAAAGAAAAAAACUACAUAAUAAUAAUAAUGAGACUAAUACGAUCAGGAUAGUUGAAUAUACAUGCAAACACAUACACUUUUGCCUCCUUAUUUAUAUUGUAUAAUUUUUUAAUAAACAAGUUCAAUCUCUCGUGUGUAUUUAUAAUAAUCACAAAAUGAAAACGCAAUUUAAAUGACAGAUAUUUCAAAAACUUAAGUGUGAACUUCAAAUCGAAUCUAAAAUUCUGGAAAUUUGUUUCCAAACAUAACUUCAGUAUUAAUAAAUUAAUUUAAAAACUUAUAAGAAGUCAAAAUAUAAAUGAUUAGAAUAAUUUAAAAUUUGAAUUUCAAUCAGUUACAGAUAGGUGGCCACAAAUUUCCUUAGUUGCAACAAAUACAAAAUUUGAAUUUCAAAAAUAUAAAACAUGGCAUUUCCCUCUAAAAUCCUACUUAUAUCAAUCCAACUCAUCAUAUAUUUAUUAAAUUCCUAAAAAGCCAUCAACAACAUUUUUUGUCCUUUUGUUUAAACAUGGCUAGUUAGUUCAUACAAUAAAGUUUCAAUAAAAUAAAAUAGGUUGACAAUAAAACCCAAAUUGAAAAGUGGAUUUAGAACUUUAAGGACUCAUUUGAUAGGAAAGAUAAGGUACAAUUAAUUUUAGGAUGAUUUUAAUUCAUGUUAGAUUGGAAUAGAAUCAUGAGAUAAUUUAUAAUUUGAUUGUAGUGUUUUUUUUAAUUCACAUUAAGGGUGAAAUAAAUUGUUUGUCCUCCUCUCCCCUUCGUUUCUCUCUCCUCUCCGGCAAGAGGUUGUUGUCUCCGGCUAAAAAAGCUUUAAAACAUAUGUAUAUUUUAUCAGAUACAUAGUUUAACCACCGUCACUCAUCCUCUCCUCUCUGGCCAAAAACCAUCGUCUUCGAUAAAAACUCUAGCAAAGGGGCAUUCUGUCGGACCGUUUCUCCUCCUCUCCCCUUCAUCUCUCUCUCUCCUCUUCUAUCAAAGACCAUCGUCUCUAGCAAAAACUCCAAUGAAGACGCAUUUUUGUCUGUUAUAGCGUUGACGAACUGAAACUUACUGGCCUUGACUGUUGCUCCCGUAAGAAUCCUUUGAGUCAAAACGUGGGGAGAGGAGAUGGAUUAAAAGAGAGAGAGCGGACCAAUUUGGACUGAAUGAAUAAAUUAAGAAGAUAAUUAAGUGAGUAGAACUUUAUUUUAGAGAAAUAACUAUGUGGGUAAAACUUCAUUUUAUGUUUUUUUCAAGGACAAAUAUAUUGAGAUAUAUCUUACUCCAAAUUUGGUACAUAAUUAAUAAAUAGUGGAAUAAUAGGUAAUUAUUUAAAUGUAUAGAUUGAAUUAAUAUAAUACCAUAUAUGGUAUGAAUUUAUGUGCAAUUAUAUAUUUUUCCUUAAAUUAAUAGUACUAUUUAAUGAUGAUUUGAUUUGGGGUAAUUUAGUCAUUAGACUCCCCAAAUAAUCCAAAAAACCCAUUCACCACUGCCAGCUCAGUUCAGCUGAAUCUCCGCUCCAUAGCAGCCCUUAAACCCUCUUUCUUCUUCAAGAUCCAGCUAUAUAAACCCUCACUUUCUCUGUUCAUCACUCAUCCAAAUCCAAAUCGGAGAAUUGGGUUUUGUUCUUAAUCCCUUUUACUGAAUUGGGUCUUCUUCAAACAGAAAGAAACAUGAAAGCUUCAAUCAAGUUUCGUGAUGAACAAAAACCAUUAAUCAGAGCUAAAGUUCCUCUGAGCGUGUUGAACUUUCCGUUCCAAUCAGGAAUCGUUGCCGGUGAAUCGAAGGAGUUAUCGCUGAGUCUAGGAACUUUGUUCGAUUCUGGGCCUUCGUUCAAAGUUGCUUAUCGGCCGAAUGAUUCGUUCAAUCCGUUUAGUUUUGUGUUCAAAACUGGGAUUGGGCAUUUUGGGUCUCCGGUAUCUAGUCCGUUUACCAUGAGUGCUGAGUUUAAUUUGGUUGGGAAUCAAAACCCUAGCUUCUUCAUUCAUUUCAAACCUCAAUUUGGGGAUUUUUGUGUGAAGAAAUCACACUCCUCUUCGGCUCUUACGAAGAGUUUGAACUCGAAAUCGAAUGGGAUUGAUCCGAUUCAAAACGGUUUCGAGACUCCGGUGAUGAAAACCGAUUAUUUCCAAGAGAAAGCAGCGUUUCUCGGCAGCAAAGUCGGGGUUUUCCCGGAGGAAUCUGCCGUCGCCGGAGCUGUGGAAAACUUGUUCUCCGGCGCGGUUGUCAGUGCCCGUACUUCGUUACCUGUGAGAAACCGUGCUGUGGUGAAUUUCCGAUGGGGUCUCAGGUUUCCUAUAGUUCCUGCAGUGGAGGAUCCGGAUACUGUUAUCCUAGGGAACACCAACUUCCCAUCGCCGGCGGGCAUUUCGUUCCCUCACUGUCCACUGCUGGUGAUGAAUAAGAUCGGUAUCGAAUAUAUAGCGAAAGAUGAUUCGAAGAAAGCUAACAAUUUGCCCAGAAAUGCUGAUUUGACACAAGCUUGUUUGGAUGUGAAGCAGCAGCUGGAGACCAUACAAGCUGAAAAUGGAUUGUUGAGAAAUGCUUUGAAUGAUUUAAGAUCUGAAAUUGCUUCAAAAAAGUUCAACUUUCCGACGAAUGAAUUCAAUAGCCGGAGUAACAGAGAUGCAGAAAACACCAAGGCUAAAUACUCCGGUGAUCGGAGGAGCAAUGGGAAAUCAACAGAAGGGGACGUCAAUGUCAAUGAGGACUCGAAGAAGGCUUAAACUAGUCGACAUUGCUUCGUGCUUAAAGGUUUCGAUUAUUUCAGAAUCGUUCUUAUUUCGAUCGAAUUAUGUCGUUCAAUUUUUUUUGUUGUUUAUGGUGGAUAGAGUAAUGUUUGAUAUUUGUUUAAAGAGUUUUUGAGGGGUUUAAGGUGAAGUAACAAUAGAAAACAUCUUGUUUUGAUAAGAUCUUUAUAGUAUAAUAUGGAGGGAAAAUUAUGGUUUAAAAUGUACUUAUUGCUAUGUUUACAAGUUCAAUUGUUGGAUUAUUAUAAUUUCGUUUAUCAUGAGUUGCGUACACACCACCUUCCCCGACUUCACUUGUGGGAUUACAGUGGUAGUCUGGGGUUUUGCUCUGAUGGUUAAAGCACCAUAUGUGAUGUCUAGGUAAGCUAGCUCGAGGCAUGCCCUUUCCAUUGUUUCAUAAGUCCGGGGCGUUGUUCUAAUGGUUAGUUUAUCUUCCUUGUCUCAUGGCUUUAGUCUAUUGAGAGCGGUCAGAUAACUAGUGGCAAACGAGCGGGUCGAGUCGAAUAUAAGCUGAUCGAAAAGGAGUUAAACAAUGAUAUGGAUCUGACUCAUACACAUAUCAUGAGUUCAAACUCUAGUAAGGUAAUGGGUUAUUCAUUGAAAUUUGAAUUGUAGCACGGACCCUCGGACCGGUCGAGUCAAAUAAGAGGCAAUCGAAAACGAGUUAAACAAUGAUAUGGAUCUGACUCAUGUGCAUAUCAUGAGUUCAAACUCCGGUAAGGUAAAGGGCUAUUCAUUGAAAUUUGAAUCGUAGUACGGACCCUCAAACGGGUCUAGAUGAAUAUGACCCGAUCGAAAACGAGUUAAACAAUGAUAUGGGUCUAACUCAUACGCAUAUUAUGAGUUCAAACUCUGCUAAGGUAAAGGAUUAUUCAUUGAAAUUUGAAUCGUAGUACUGACCCUCGUGGAUUUCUCAGUUAUUAAUUAUGCUAAGGUUAGUAAUAAUUUCUAAGAUAACUCAAAAACUUGAUAUUUAAGUGGAGAAGCAUAGAAUAACGGAGCCCGUUAAUGAGGCCCAAUAUGCGUAUCCAACUUAUCAAUUGAGUUGGAUUAUCAGUUAUGGACAUUGAUCAAUGGGUCUAGUCAAUAUGUACAAAACUGGGCAAUCUAAAAUUGCACUUUCAGUCGAUUUUGGAAUCACUAUUUAAGUCAUAUUUUUCGUAUAUGAAAAUUUUAUAAAUUUAGCCAUUUUGAGAUAAUUUCAGACAUAUGAUUUUAAAGUUGCAAAAGUCUUGUCUGAUACGAGGAGGUCACAUAAUUGUUUUUGAGGCACUAUUGAUCUUAGAUAAGAAUUUAUAAAUUUUACUUUGAAAAACAUCAUUUAUAUGAUAGAAUUAUUACAUAUUAUCCAAAAAUGACAAGAUCUUUUGGAAAUCUAAUUAUACACGGAUAAAAAUAGUUUUCUUAUAAACAAAGAUUAAAAAAAUGAAUGUUUCAUAAAAUUGCAUGCUUUGACUUGCCUUUUUAAGUAUAUACAAAUUGGCCAACGACUUGAAAAUUUUAUACUUUAAUUGUCCUUUCAACAAUUUAGAAGGCAAAAAUUAGCAAUAUAUUGUUCAUACAAGAUAUUUGAUUGGUUUUUUCUCAUUUACAUGUUACGUCAAGAAAUAAAAUCUAUAAUCUGAAGCGUGCGUUCAAAAUGAAUAUAAUUUUAUUUUAUAUAUUUAUAAAAUUAUAUUGUGCACACACAUAUGCAAACCUUUUCUUUUGGUAAGUAUAAAUUUUGUUGGAUUUGACAAAUUUGAUCAAACAACGGGAAGGUCGUGCAAUUUUAUAUGUAUAAAUCAUAUUUGACUUUAAUAUUUUCCAUUACUAUAUUCUUAACAAUUUAUUCUUAGACAUAUAAAGUUAGACCAUUCAUAUUGAUCUUCAUUAAAGAAAUAUCCUCCAAAUUUUAACUAUAAUUACAUACCUUUAUGGGGUAGAGAGAGUUUUCGAUAGACUCUUUGAUUAAGAAAAAUGUUUACAAGAGUUUUGAAAAAAAAAAGUGCAAUAGUAAAGAAAAAGUUAUGAUGAAAAUAUCGAAUACAGAAAUGUAUUGAUAUCAAAAAUAGUAAAUAUAACCAAUGUAAAAAUAAUAACAUUAGAAAUAAAAUUGAAGAAUAAGGUAUGACUAGCAUAAUAGUAAUAAUAUUGGUAAGAGAUCGAGCAGAUAAGUAGUCUAGGCUAAAACCAAGCUCUACCAUUAAGAAGCGAGAAAUCGCUCAUCUACAUAAAUAUCUAUCAUAAUCCUCGACUUUCAGGCUCUUUUAUCUAAAAUUACGUCCUUGAUAAGGAAUCUUCCCGACCAAUAACCAGAUAAAUAAUGAUUAAUGAGAUGCUAUAAUUAGAGGAACUUCAAAAGGCUUCAUGCUUAUAAUAUUUAAAUAUAAUACUAUAUAUUAUAAUGUUCUGAUUUGAUUUUAUUUAUUUAUAAAAAGAAAAACAAAUCUUUGAAUAUUCAAUAAUGUCCAAAAGCCUUGUGAAAGAAUCUGCUGUCACCUUCACAUGCUGAUUUUUACAAAGAGAUUUAAACUAAUUUUAGGCUCAAUUUAUUUUGUACCAAUUACAUGGUAUAUGACUUUUGCAUAUGCUUGAUGUAGACCUAUAACAAUUCACAUAUUUUCUUCGGUCCAUUUUAAUUGUCGUGCUUACUGAAAAUAACUGGUCCAAAAUAUAAUAUGAAGAAGGAAUAUUGAGGUGGGAAUGUUUCUAAUGAUAGAAAAAUAAACAAUAAAAAUAGGAAUGAUUAGAGAAUCAAAUUAGAUCUUAUUUUCUAUAACAAGUACAUGAACUAUGAAAUAUAAAAUUAGGUUGGAACAUAGUCUAGCUCAUUCAAGAUUCCCAUUUUUAAUUUGUUUAUUAGUACAACAAAUGUCAUUAUAGGUCUCUAGAUGCAUUGGACCAACGAUAACGUUAUCUGUAUGUGAUCUAUAGGUCACAAGUUCGAGAUGCUUGAUCUAUAGGUCACAUGUUCGAGCUGUGGAAUCAACAACUGGUUCUUGAUCUAUAGGUCACAGGUUCGAGCUGUGGAAUCAACUGAUGCUUGAUCCAUAGGUCACAGGUUCGAACUGUGGAAUCAACAACUGAUGCUUGAUCUAUAGGUCACAUGUUCGAGCUGUGGAAUGUUUGAAGUAACAUUUCACCUAUGGUUUACCAAGUUGGCAUUUGUUUUCUUCUAUUACUAAAUAAUAAUGUUCUGGCUUUGGUUUUGUCAAACAGAUUGUUUAUUAGUCCUUAUCAGUAUUAUACAUUACAGAAUAAUCAAUAAAGCUGGCAUUUUUCGAGUCGUUGACAUAUUGUAUAUCUUGUUUUUAAAGACAUCUAGAUGUAUAAAAAUUUGAAAAUAUGUAUUCAGGAGCUGUCAAUCUGAAAUAUAAUACUGCUGCAUUUUGAGUUUACUGAAUAUUCAUACUCGUUUUCUUGAUUCCGCGUCUCCUGUUAACCUUAUCGGAUUCAUUGAGACACAAAAAUUUCAAUUGAAAUACCCCUUUGAAUCUUGAAAAGUUCAAGAAAAUCCAUAUUUGGUUCUUGAUCAUAAUGAGUAUCCAGGGGUUUAUUAGUACUCAGGGGAAUGAGUACUUUUCGAGUGAUUAUAGUUUAGGAGUUUCGAAAAAUUCAGCUCAGGAUUUAGUUGAUCAAGAGUUACAAUAUUCAUCAUACAUGGAAACUUGUUUGCCUGUUGUUAGUUCAUCUUCAAGUAGCAUAAUCAACUGUAUUGGUUCCCCUUCUUCAGCGUUUUUCGCUACAGAACGUUGCCUCGGGUUGACACAAUAUGAUAAUCAAUAUGAUACUUCUGAAUUGAUCAAGAAUUGUGAUGUUCAAAUGUCAUCAUUUGAUCCUCAACAAUGUAAAAAUGGAAUCUUGGAAGAUUCAUUAGCAAAAGGUGAAGCAGAUUUUCGACACGAGAUUUCUCUGCCAUCAUUCAUCAGGACAGAAUUCUCAACUAGUCCAUUUUCUGAUGUAUCAGAAUCAGAGAAAGAGAGUUUGUUGCAUCUGAAAAAUGAGUUGCUGGGCGAGUUUGAUACUUCAUAUCAAAGGCACCCUUUGUUGCCUUUUGAUGGAAAUCAAGAUUAUUGUGUGAGUACUUCAAAAAAGUCUUAUGCUUUAUCUCAAUAUACAGUCAAACCUCUCUAUAACAACGUAAUUUCUUCUGAUAUGUUUUGGCUGCUAUAGAAACAUGUUGUUAUAAAGAAGAUAUAAUAAGAUUGGUUCCACAGAAAACGUGGUUUUUAUAGUGAAAUGUUGUUAUAGAGGAUGACUGUUAUAGAGAUGUCUGACUGUAUACGAUUAUGAGUCUUCGUAUAGUUGUCCCACAACUCUCUCUUGGUUUGUGUUGCUCUCGAUUGGCAAAUAUGAGGCAACAAUCCGCGAGUCUUUCACUUACUUUGUCAUAACAUAAUAUGAAAUAUUGGUUCUUGUGAAAACAUGAUUGUUAUAGAGAUGUCUGACUGCGUACUAUUCUGAGUCUUCUUAUAUUUGUCCUACAGCUAUCUCAUGAUUUGUGUUGCUCUCAAUUGGCAAAUACGAGGCAGCAAUUCGCGAGUCCUUCAUUUACUUGUCAUAACUUUGCAUCUUCUGGAGUAUCUCAUAAGCCUAGUAAGACAAGAAUCAGAUGGAAUGAAGAUCUCCACGAUCGAUUUCUUGAGUGUGUAAAUCGCCUUGGAGGAGCUGACAGUAAGUAAAUUCCAAACUAUCUUUCUUCCUCUAAAAUCGAUUGUUUUGCUGUUGACUGUCAUUACAUUCGUCUUUCAGAGGCUACGCCGAAGCAAAUACUAAAUCUGAUGGACUCAGAUUGCUUAACUCUUGAUCAUGUUAAAAGCCAUUUACAGGUACUUAUUCCACAAGUGCAUUUCAGAUUACUAGAUGAAAUGUUCUCUCCUUGUAUAACUAUUUCCCUUUUUUCAGAAAUAUCGGAGUGCAAAGCAUCAAGAAUCUGCAGGGAAAUCCGAAAAGAGAAACAGCCCGGAUGCUAUGACAGAUAUAGAGAGCAAAACGUAUACUGUCUUGUUUUCCUUUUUAGUUCGUUUCAAAAAGAAUGUUCCUUUCCUUUUUCGACAACUCUUUAGUGUCAACUUUUCACAUAACAUGUACCACAGGAUUAAAAGACUUUUUCGUACAUUGUUCCUAUGUUUAGUUUAAGAUACACAAGAUCCAAAAGUAUUCUUUUUUUUCUUAAACUCUGUGUCAAGUCAAAACUAGACAAUCAAGUUGAAACGUAGGAAGUUUACUCUUUACUCAAUACUUUAGUUGAUGUCCAACUUGUUUGCAGUGGAAGAGAAAUCAAGGAAGCACUGAAAAUGCAACUAGAAGUACAAAGGUGUCUUCAUGAGCAACUAGAGGUAUGUCAUUUCUAACAUACUUAACUAAACAUUGUACUUUGCUAGAACAAAAUAACAUGUCCAACCAGUCUUUCGGAAUCAUGUUCUCCUCAUUUUGUUAUAUAGACACAACGAACGUUACAAAUGAGGAUCGAAGAACAAGCAAAGAAGUUGAAGAUGAUACUUGAUCAACAACAAAAGACAAACAUGACUCUGUUGGAGACGCGGAAUUCAAACAUUUCAUCUUCUGGUGUAGAAAUUUUGGUUGUAGAAGACACUGAUAAUUAGCUUGUCAAGCAACUUGUAACAAAUGUAAAAUACAGUAUGAAGUUAUGCUGAAAAUUAGGUUGUUUAUUAUCAAACUAGUCUAUGUCAAUGAUUAUGUUGACUGCAUAGGUAAAAAUGUAAUGUAAUGAAAUGAAAUGAUUCAUAUAAGGUCCCAAGUAUUCAAUUGACUCAUGGGGUGAAGGAUUACAGAUUGCUCUUUCACCUCGAGACAACACCCUUGUUGUAGUCUAGGUUGCCUGACCUGACUACAACAUUGGGUCGAAUAAUGCAAGGUUGACUAUUUUGAUAGUAGUUCAAUAUUUACCAAAGUAUGCACACCCCUAUUAUCACGGAUUAACGAGUUGAGUCAAGCGUAAACUGGACCUGGAUUAAACUCAUGAGGCGAAGGAUUACAGACUAUCUCACUCACUCACCUCAAGACAACACCCUUGUUGCAGUCUAGGUUGCCCGACCUGACUACAACAUUGGGUUGAAUAAUGCAAGGUUGACUAUUUCGGUGGUUGUUUGAUAUUUACCAAAGUAUGCACACCCCUAUUAUCUCGGAUCAACGAGUUGGGCCAAGCGUAAACUGGACCGGGUUUAACCGCGAUUUCAUUGUUGGGCCUAUUAAUAGGCCCAAUUACUAAAUUGGGCUUAGUAAUAGGCCCAUAUCAACCAACUUACUCAAGUAUCUGCCUUUUGACAGGACCAAGUCAUCAAGCUUAGCAGUAACCAACUCAACAUGUGGGACCCAUGGACAUGUGUGAAGCAGACAGCCCAACAAAGAGAAGGGCUUUUUAGUCAUUUCCUUGUAGAAUUUAAUAAUUUAGCCAUAGUACAUACUAAUUGGGUUCUAAAAGGAUUCAAAUAUGUAAAGACUAUUUAUUGCUAAUAUUUAAAGACAAAAGUACCCUUUGAUUUCAUGAUAGUUUUUAUAAAUAAAAUUAAUAAGAUAAUCAUGAGAAGUGAAAUUAUGAUAAGGUUAAACAUAAGGUUAAAAAUCAUUAUUCUCCUUAUUUUUGGAAAUACUUUUCGUUAUUCAACUCAUCCAAAUUGUAUUUUGUUGCUUAUUGUUCAUGAUAUGACACAUAAUUGAUUUCCCACCCGGUGUCUGCUUAUCCAUAUUGAAACCCGAUUAAAUUUAAAUUUAUCUCGAAAAGUUCCAUAAAUACUACAAAUUGUUUUUUCUUAAAAUAAAAAUAAUACAUAACAUCUAUUAAAUAUCAAUUAAUCAAUCUAUGUUAAUUUGGUUUAUGUAUGAAGAACUUCACUAAAAAUCGUGAGGAUUGAGGAUAUUGAUAAAACACCACCUCAGAAAUUCACAUAACACAACUCUAACGAUUACUAAUUAAGUUGAUACAAAUUUACGUGAACUCAUUAAUUUUUGUUCAUAUACGUAUAUAAUUCACUAAAUAUUUACAUAUUUUGAACUGCAAACCCCGUUAUUAUUAUAAUAUUAAUUUAAAGUCCUUAUCAAAACUUAUAAACUUUAAUUCAACCCUAUAAAUUCAAUCUUUCCCCAUUUAAAAUAUAUUUUUCUUCUUUUCUUUUUCUAAUAACUCUCAAUUCCCACACUCCCUUUCCUUUUCUUUUCUUUUUUUCACAUAUAUAAAUAUUUUUACCCUAAAUUUGCCAAAAAUAGCCCAUUGAGAUAAAUAAAUUAUCUCUUCAACAAUUUCUACAACUACUACUACUACUACUAUUUGUCCCAUUUUUCUUCACUUUUUUUCAUUUGUGUAGUCUUCUUUGGCUUUGCCUCUCUGCCUUUAGCUUAUUAUCACACCUCUCAACUCUCUAAUGGCAAAGAUUCAUAUUCCUCAAAACUUCACUCACAUGUUAAAGUUUUCAUUUUGAUCUGUUUUCUCCCUAUAUUUUUCAUUCUUGUCAAAAAAAUUCUUCUUUCAUUUCAUCACUUAUAAAAAUAAUAUUUAGCUUCUCUACUUUCAUCACUUUUCAACCCAUCAGAGUCUUGAGAUUUCCUUUUGUUUGGAUUGGUUUUAUGAGAUUUUAAGAAAUGGGGUUUUGCUUAAAGAUGCAAAAUGGUGGAUGAUUCUUGAAAAGUUUGAUUUUUUUUGGGUAUGUUUCUCUUGGCUUUAAUUUCAAAAACAUCAUUAAACUGAUGUUUGAUGAUAGAUUCUUUGUGGGUUUUUUGAAAAGAUUGAAUCUUUAUGAUUUAUUGUACUGAAAAGUUUCAUUUUUAAAUUUUUUGUCAUCCUGUUUGAGUUUGAAUGUAAAAAAGGGUACUGUAUGUUUUUAUCUUGUGUUGUUGAUGUUCUUGAUUUGCUUUUUAUAGAUAUGGAUGAGGUUAUGUUGUAUUUUUGUUGUACUGAAAAGUUACAUUAGAUUUUUUGUCAUCCUGUUUGAGUUUGAAUGUAAAAAGCUACUGUGUGUUUCUGUCUUGUGUUGUUGAUGUUCUUGAUUUGAUUUUUAUAGAUAUGGCUGAAAGUAUCUGUGUUUAUUGCUGUCUGAUGAAUGUUGGAUAUGGGAAAGUUGUGUUUUGAACUAAUCUUUAAGAAAAAAAAAUUCUUUUUUGUUGUUGCAUAUUUUGUCCUGAACCUUCUAAAGCCCACUGGAUUUAGUUUGUUUAAGCUCUGGUAUUUGCAUAGUUUAUGACUGAUUCGUGUUUCAUUUGAAUCCUUUUCUGUAUUUCUUGUCCUGGUAUGAAUUAUAGUCAAGUUGGAAGUCAUAAGUUUGUUUGUUUGUGAAGAAAAGUUCUUAAAUUUUUGUUUGUAUUUAUUUGAUAUCAGUUUUGAGUUCUGAGGAUAGACAUCAAUCAAAGAUAACAUUUUUAUAUCUACUGUUCAUGUUGAUAUUUGAUCCUUAAAAUUGUGAGGCUCUGUCUAACUCUAAUCUGCUGUUUUCACAUCAUUUAUAGGAUUUUUUCAAUUUUUUUGGAGUGUCACAUACUAGUUUAAGGCUUCUGAGAUUUGGAUUUAUUGAAGUUGUCACCAGCAGAAUUUCGAGCUUUGUACAAUGGGUAGAGGAAGAGGAAAGGGAAAGAAGCAAUCUGUUCGUGAGGAUCUCGGAAGUGGUGAAGAAGAUAAGAUACCAAUCCGGAGAAGAGGAAGACCACUGAAGCCAUCAAAGGAUGAAAUAGGGGAAGAAGAAGAAGAAGAAGCAAUGAAAGUAAAAGAAGAAGAAGAUGGCAGUGAGAAUACAAAAGGUUCUGUCUUUAAUAAAGAUGUCAAGAACCAAGCUGUUGUGAAUGGAAAGAAGAGGAAGAGAACUUCACAAGUUAAGGAAGUAGAUUCAACGAAAGUGGAAAAUGGUGUUGGGAACAAAACUAACUCUAAUGAGUUAAUAAAGUCGGUUGGAUUUAGACAAAACGGGAGUAGAAGGAAAAACAAGCCUAGGCGAGCUGCUGAAGUUGGCGUUGAAUGCAGAUGAACAGCUCUCUUUGCUAUUGAGGACUGAUUCUAUACUGAUCUAUAUCUGCUUUUCAUUUUGCCCCUUGUUAAUGUUUCUUGUUUUUUUUGAAAUUUAGCUAAAACUUUCUGAAGAACUGAAUUUUGUUCAAAUUCUAGUAGACUUCAAUGUGCUGCUGCUGCUAAUCACUUAGCAGGUUCCCUUGUUUUGCAUAUGUCAUGGAAAACUAAGCAAUAUUUUCCCGUGUACUCUAAUCCUUGUCGCCUUUGCUUUUAUAUGUAUGAUGCCCUUCUUUGGUUUUGAAUCUGUAUUAUGUUUUCUUUGAGAUGUAUUAAUCGAAUGACAAAUACUUUAGAAACAUGACUUAGCUCUUGUUUAGUUACUUCAACUGUCAACGGAACAACUCCUACUGACCGGCUAAGAUGGUGAGUGAAGCUACAUGAAGGCUCAAUGUUGCUCUGCUGAAUGGAGGGAACAUGCUCAUUGGAGGUUAGAUUCAGUAUCAUACUCUCAUUUGCUUUGUUUUGACUGAUUUAAUCCUUUGACACUUCUAAUUAUUCGUGUAAAACGGUCUAACAUGAUAUUGUGCUAGUGAAAUGUGGAUGUUGCUUUAUACUUCUGAAAUCUGUCAAUUAAGGAUUUUGAUUUGGUUUACACCUUACAUGAAAGCACUUGAACUUGUGGAUUUAAAGUUCUUCUCAGUAUAUGUACAGUCAAAAUCGUUUAGAGGGACGAAUAUUUGUGAGACAAGUGAUAUCAUGUUGAUCUUACUCUCUUUGAAAUAUGGCUCCUUUCUGCAUUUAGACAUUUCACAUCUUGCCUUCUUUAGUGUUUAUCACUCGUCUUUGUUUCUCAGCUCAUCGGAUAUGACAUGUGAUAUCGUGUUAUUUCUGUUAUUUUUUGUGUGGUGAUUUUGCAUAACUGGAAAAAGGUAGUCUGAAGACACAAUGCAUCUUGCUUCUUACAUGUUCAAUAGUACUAUUUUGAUUUUUUCUGGGAAAUAUGAAAUUUCUGAAGGAAACUGGUCCUUGUGUACUUAAGAAGAAGCCAAAGGGGAUUUAAUAAGUUGGGCCUGUUUAUGUUGCCUCCUUGUACCAUUUUUUUGCAGUUGUGUUGAGAGUCUGUCGGAAACAGUCUCUCCACCUCUACUUCCCACUUGUAGCGGGAUUACCCCACGAAGUAGCUAUAGGGAUAAGGUUUUCAAGAUGAUUAAGAUGUUCUCAUUACACAUAGUUGGUUUAAUACCAAAGAAUGUAUGCAAACUCACCAAUAAAGACACUCAUUGGUGAACAAACUAUUAACAACCAUGUCUUUUUCACCAAUCUUGAGAGAUGGGAGAUACCUUUAUCUCUCAAAAUAAAAAAAUUUGAAACGAAUUCGAAUUAGUGGAGCCUCAAAACAUUCUGGUACUAGAGAUAAUGAAAUUCAAGUCCAAAAGUAGGUAGGUAUUGCCAUCAAAUACGAAAAAAGGGCAGCACGGUGCACGAAACAACAGGGGUAUGAUGUAGAUAGUCAACUAGACACAAAUAUCAAUAAUUGAUUUCACAACUUGAAUCCAUAAUGCAUAAAUAGCAGAGACAAUUUUAGUGCUGCUUCAUACUACAGGAACAUCAAAGUGGGAAACAAAAUAAAUUUUAAAAAAGUUGUCUUUAAGUAGAUGUGACCUUUCAUUAAAAGAAAGUCACGUUUUUUUAAUGACACAAUUUCUUCAAAGAUAUAAUAUUGUCAAAUUAGUAGUUUAAAUAAGUUUCAUUAACAGUAAAAUAUUGAAGAUUCUUUUGUUUGUUCAAAAAAGAUAUUUAGAACAUAAUCUGAAAGAUUUUUGGAAACAAUCUUUCUCUCUACUUUCACGAGGUAGUGGUAAGAUCUGCAUACAUUCUACCUUCCUCAAAUCCCAUUUGUGAAAUUUCGCUGGAUAUGUUAUUGUUGUAAUCCGAAAGGUUUGUAAGUUGCAAAAAUAAAAUAGAGAUAGGGAUCAUAUACUAUUGAAUUUAAGAUUAUUCCAAAGGAACAAAUGCCUUUUCUUUUGUUUGUGUGAAAACAUUCAAUCUUGUUUGUCUAAAAGGUAACAAUAUUACAGACAAGGAUAUAAUUCCUUGGUUGGGAUAAUGGAUAAUAGAAGUAAAUCUAUUGAUUCUUUAUGUCCAUAAAGGUCUACCAAAUUGAAUACUAUAGCGAAGGAUGGUCCGUUAAACACAAACUUUUUAUUGGAUAUUUAUACUCUGUAUAUAAAAAUAUAAGUUAAUGAACGUCCUUAGUGAAUUUUCUAACUUCGCCGAGUUAAUAUCUCAAAAGGUCACUCAAUUUUGAAAAUUUAUCUGGCAAAGUCAUUGAACUUUGUUUUGUAUCAAUAAAAUCACUCAACUUACACUUUUAUAUCAAAAAAAUCACUCAACUUAAACUUCUAUAUCAAUAAAAUCUCUUAACUAAAUUUAUCAUUGAAUUAUUUUUGGUAUCACAGAAUAGUAUUUUUUUUUUUAUGCCAAGUAUACAUUAAUGGAGUUUAAUUAUUAUGCAUUUAAUCAAGCAAAAAAUAAAGGUCUCCUGGGUUGGAUAUAUAUCACGGGUAAAGUGUUGAUUUAGUGUGUUAAUCCUAUUAAAUUAUGCGAAUACAUUAAUAAUUAUGAUUGUCACGUCUCAUUUGCAUGAGUGGAAGUUUUGUAAUUAAACUUCAUUAAUAAAUGUAUAGCGCGUUGUAUAAUUUGUUUAUUAAACUUCUCAAUACUCACUGCUAGGUUAGUUUUAAGACUUUAAAUUAUAACCAACAAAUAAGGGCUCCUGGGUGGGAUAUAUCACGGGUAAAAUGUUGGUUUAGUGUGUUAAUCCAAUUAAAUUAAUAAUUAAGGCUGUCACGUCAUAUAUAUAUAUAUAUAUAUAUAUAUAUAGCAUAAAACUAAUUUAUUUUAUUAUAUCAAAACAAUUUUAAUGAUAAAUUUAGUUAAAUGAUUUUAUUGAUACAAAAGUUAAAGUUGAGUGAUUUUAUUGAUACAAAAUAAAGUUUAAUGACUUUAUUAGAUAAAUUCUCAAAAUUGGGUGACCUUUUAAGAAAUUAACUCAACUUCGCCACCAUGGUCUAUAUUUUGUUUCUAUGAACAUGUGAAUCUUCAUUGAAUUUGAUACAAGAAAAUGGAACAAGAUGUUGGAUAUUGUCCCAUGGGUAAUAUGGUUUUCCACAAAAUGACGUUCCUUGACUUUUAAGUUUUUGAUUCCAAAUGGAUGGCUCUUAUAAUGGUGAUAAAUAACAUAGUGCAUAUAACAUGUUAACAGAUAUGAAGCUAGAAUUUUGAUUUAUGAGUUUCGAAUUCUAAAAAGGAUCUUUUAAAGACGAGAUCACAAAUACAAAAUUUGAGUCAAAGCUACUGAGCUCUAUUGAACCCAUAAAUAGAAUUGUAGCUCUGCCAGUGUCAAAGAGUUUUUAGCUGCUAAGCAACAAUCAAUCACCAAUUCUAUGAAAUACUGUUCUUUAAUUUACCCAGCAAGGUAUUCUGCAUCUCUUAUUUGUAUACAGGAACCCAGACAAAGCAAAUAACAACAGUUUAAUCCUCAGCUAAAGUUCGGAACCUAGUAAGACGAACGAAGAAAAAGGGGAAACUGGGAACUAUAAAUAUUUUGACUUCCAUAUUAGUACAAGACAGUUUCAAUUUCGAAAAAAAAAGUAACACGGUUUGGUUAUAAACUGCACAAGAGUUCUAGAGGGUAACUUGUCUGUAAGCUGCAUGGCCAAAUAUCGCGAUACCAUCAAACUCUUGGCUGCUUUCAACACCAACAAAAAUGGUAGGGAGGAACCUGUGGCGGAUGAAACUGAAAUCUACAACGGAAGGGGAGAAUUACCAAUACCAUCCUUACUACAUUUGCUGAAACAUCGUGCAGAACAUUAUUCGCCUUGAAGACAGUAUAGUUGCCGUAUAUUUCCUGAAGCUGUCAAAUAUUGGCAGAACAGGGGUUGAGAACAAAAGGUUCAAGCAGAAAUAUCAAGAAAUGAGAUAUAAACUGUCACCAUUACCAUAUAACCAGUCUUUAAAGCACACAUGGAGAGCAGUUGCUACUUCCCGCUUCCGGCUCUCAUCAAGGUCGAUGUCCUUCAAACUAUUCUUAGUCUCCUCCAAGUUCUUGAGCUGAAAGGGUAAACAAGUAUGAAAUAUGGUUUCCAAAAGUUUGAUGAUUCAACCAAAAAUAUUAAACAUGUAUGGGCUAUACUACAUAAAGGGAAGAUCAAUAAUCAUAGUCACACAAAAUGUAACGCAAAAUGAUACAAGUUUAAGUUGGAGUCUUAACGCACAUUUCUCUGCUGGGAUGCCAAAUAAGCUUCCGGCAAGGGGAAUGGAUUAUCUUUUGUGGACCCAGAUUGCUGCCCUUCAAACCAGUUCGGAAUCUGUGACCAUAAGAGACGUAGAUAUUAGCAUCUAAAAGGAAUCCAGUGAGGAAAAAGAAUUGUUUUACCACAGAUCUUGAGCAGAUACUCCGUUAGCAAAUAAUAGAGCUCAGCUAUAGACACUUUCCAGAACUGAGGGCAUUUGGAAAAAGAAUGGGUACUAAGGGUGUGCUUGGUAUGAAGGAAAAUGUUCUCUAUGAAAAUAAGUGGGUUUUUACUCAUUUUCUUGUUUCAAUACGUAAGCAAAAAAUAUUGUCCUAAAAACAUUUAUAUAUAAUUUAGAAAAAUAUUUUACCAACAGAUCGGAAAACAUUCUCUGGAAAUUGUUUUCCUCCAUACUGAACACAUCAUAAGUGAUUGAUUAGUUAGAACUCUAAGGUCCUUGUCCCUACUUCUAUAGACAUACCAAAAAGUUAGUGAACUGAUCAGGGUCCACAGGACUAGCAGACUCUGUUUGAACUUCAGACACACCAGCAGGAUGUGACAGUGAAUCAUGUGGGUCAACGACACCAAGUGCUACAGGUGCAUCCCAUCUGUUGAUGGUUGGGUCAACACCAACUUGCUUCAGGUGUUCCUCCAGUAGCGAGUAAAAAGUAUUGUAUGGAGCCACCUGAAAAAUCAACAAAAAAAGAUGGGAGGGGGGAAGUCAAAAAUUUCCCCAGAAAAAGAAGUCGAACAUCAUAUAUAUACUGUCUAUCCAGCACGAUAAAAUCAAGAAAAUACUACUAAAUAGAAUGCACAUUAUUAGGAAAUGCAGAAUACCUUCAUUUCUUAUAUCCAAUUAACAUUAUAAAAGGAAUGUAUUACCAAGCCCUAGUCACAAAGCAAAACAUUUAGUUCAUAAUUGACAAACUAUUCUAAGAAGAAAAGAAAGCCACCAAGUGGCAAGCAAUCUUGACAGAAUAAACAUUACUACAAAGAGAAUGCACUACUUCUUAAGAAGCACGAGGUAUUUCACAGCAUAUAUUAGAUGAUGGAUACAAAUUAUAUAGCCACUGGAAAACAAUAUGCCAGUCAAUUAAGUGAUAUAAACUACACCAACAAUCCCAUUUAUCACAUGAAAAAAAGUACACCAAGAGUCCCAAAACCCAAAAGUUACAUAUCUAGCACUCAAUUGCACCAAGAGUACCAACUAAAGUUUACUUAGUAUAUCACACUUCUCAAUUGCACUGAAAAUUGUCCAUCCUAUAAACUUAGCACCCUCUUAUCUUCAUUGUGUGUAUUCAAUGAAGGGCUUUGAGAAAGAUAAAUAAGGAAAAGGGUAAAAGCUGAAUGAAUAAUUUCACUUCUAAAGCCAUAUGAGAUUGCAAUGACAUUUGAUGCAGAGUGAUAAUGGCAAACCAUGCAUGUAUGAGUCAAAUAAGGAUUUUGGAGAUCCAAGGAGUAAGCUGAACUUUUGAUCAGCAGCACAAAAGUGACAUACUUGCAAUUUAUGGUUAUCACCAACAAGAAGUGGUGUUUGGUUAACUCCCAAGAAGAAUACGCAUUCACGACAGUUGGCAAUACAAAUACGUUUAGCUGCUGCAAUCACGUGAACACGUUCACAGUGCUCAAUUCUGACAGCCUGUAAAAGAAAUUAUACAAUUAAAGGUCAAAUCAAAUAAUUAAUUUAGAGGAUCAAACAGACGAUGGUAAAUCAUUUGUAAAAUGGAUCAAUUAAUACAAAACUAGUGGCAACCUGCAGUUCAUGUGUUAUGUGGUAAACCCUGAUGUAAAUAAAAUAAUUGCUUGAGCAACUCCAUUUCAAAAAAUAGCUCAAGGAACUCUCUACUUUUUAUGCCAUUAUAUUUUGAAAUCAAAAUAGUCUUUCUAGUGGCAGUAGAAAGCAGCAAAUAUCAGUUUCAUAAAGCAUAAGUUUCUUCCUUAUCAUCUUCGGAGUCCAUGCAAAUAUUGGUCACCUUUUUGUGUUCAGCAUUUAAGCCAUAACUAUAGAAGAAAAUCAUUAUCAAUUAUUCCACCAAAUGUGCCUCAGUUCUAUAUAAAUUGGAGUUGGCUAUAUGAAUCCUAUGUACUCAUUCAGCUCCUUUCAUGACCACGUUGUUUUAGUACUAAGUAAUUUGUCUUUAUAUUGCCAAGUAGCAUGAAGAGUCUAAAUACCAUCCAGAAUCACAAAGUUCAAAAUGCUUACAUAACUGUAGCUGAUGCCAGCACAGCCUAAGUGAAAUUUUCAAAUCAAACAGCCCCAACAGGAUCAAAUCUUAGAUAAAACCAAAUUUCAGAUACAAAUAAGCUCAACCUUUAACAGUAAUGAUUUUCCUACAAAAGAUAUUGUUUCCCCAUCUCCCGACAAUUCAGAUUUUCAAGUUCAGAAGCCUGCAAAUCUUUGCCUCCAAGUACAUGAGAUGAAUAAUGUGCAAAUGCUAGAUUAUGUAUGUUUUGAAGAUGGCAUUUGGCCAAACAUGUACCUUUAACUAGAUUGUGCCUUGAAAUUGCUAAACAGCAAAGCCCCAUACUAAGGUACAGUGCAGGCUGUUUUUGAGAAGCAAAGAAAUAAGAACACAUUUCAUUCAUAUAUAGUACAUGAGACAUCUACAAUAAGUAACAGGUAAUGUGGAAUUAAAUUUACGUCAUACUAGAAUUUCUACAAUUUCAUUACUAACCGACCCUUGAGAAGAAACAAGCAAAAUCUUCCUAAAGGUUAGUACCUACCUUGCCUACAGCUCCCAGGACAAUAGUUGCAUCAGAGCAUCCAUAUACUGUCGCAUAUUUCAAAGGAGCUAAAAUAUAAAUGACUGAUUCAUGGCAAUUGAUAACCUGCCAAAAAGAAAAAGGAUUCAAUAUCAAGAAUCCUGUAGGAAGUUUGUUUCACCAAAUUUAAAUCUGUCCGGCCAAUAAUUUGUCGGGGCACACGGUAAAUCAAAACAAAUCGAAAGAACAAAUCUCAUUCAUUAAUACCACUUCUAAAAGAAAAGUGAAUUCUAACAGUGCAAAAUCAUCUCAUGCAUAAUCCAAAAUUCUAAGCGCCCAACUUUAAGGACUUGAAAAGCUCUUGGAAGUUGAGAGUAUUAAGAUAUUCAAAGACAUAAACAUCUCAGCAUGCUACAGAAAAGGUGCAAACAAACUGAUCAACAAGUUGCAAGUAAUGGACAUGUCCUUCUUCCAAACAAGACUAGCUUUCAAUUAGACACUAUAGAGAACCUUAUUCUGACCACUUAUCCAAUAUUGCUUCCUUUCAUUUUCACAUUCUUCUGGAAUACUCUUUAAUCGUAGUCUCAGACACUCUCGAGAACUCGCCUAUACUAUGAGUCUAUGACGAACAAAUUUCUAGAGUCCUUGACUCUCCUUGACCAAAUGUGUGAUUCUGCUUUAAAGCUGUCAGUAAAUAUAUAAAGGAACGGUCAGAAUUCAAGAGAUUUGGUUGUUCACAUCAAUAGGUUAGAGACUAAACAGACACAACACAGAGGCAAUAAUAAAACCACAUAAGUUCAUAAAAUCCUCUUUAACGAAUUCUGCAAGAGACGAGGUUUCACAAAAGAUGAUGCAACGUGAUAAAUUCUCCUUGCUAAUAACUUUAAAGCCUUACCACUUAUUAAAAAAAGUUAACCUAAAAUCUUACCAUCUUGACUCCCAUUAUUAAUGAAACUACACUUUAAUUGAUCAAAAAUGUCUUACCAUCUCGACAUAUAUAGCAUAGCCAAUGUCAAUAUGGUAACUCUAUGAUUUAAGUGAGUUGGAACAGACAUAAUACUGCUAUAACCGUCUAAAUCGUAUUAUAUCAACAGUUUUGCAUAAAAAGAUGCUCCAUUCAUAGAUUUGCAUCCUUCCUAUAUAAAUAAAAUUAUGACCAUAAAAACUCCUCAACACGAUCGCAAAGAACCUAAGUUGAGUUUGAAAGUCAGUUUCCACAAUAAACAGUUUUGCAUGUAAAGACACUCCAUUCAAAAAUUUGUAGAAUUACAUUCCUUUCUAUAUAUAUAAAAUUAUGACCAUAAAAACUCCACACGAUCAUAAGAACCUAAGUUGAGUUUAAAAAUCAGUUGGGACAAUUAUGUAGUGAUAUUUGCCCACCACUUACCAGAGUUUAGAUGAGCACUUAUUAAACUGAGAUAAAACUACAAUAAAAUGGUUAGAAUUCCAAAAGAGUAAAGGCAUUAAAAGAAGUUUGACCACAUUGUCAACCUCUGAAAUAAUUUGGCACAGAGUGAGUUUCAUAACAUAAAAAGAAGCCUGCCUAUACACAACAUGUAAAACUUUUCUUCUUCAUUUUUAAAACCUUCUCGUGUACUACUUCAUUGUCCUUUAUGCUAUGGUGUAUUUCGUACUCAUUUGGAAUACACGAAUCAUGUACAAAUUACUCACUAUCGUUCGAGCAAAAUACCAUCCUACGUUCUCCUAUAUAUACAUCCAAUACUUUUUUGCCGGGAAAUCCGCCAUCAGCUCAGCAUGCAAGCUCACAAAGAAAUGAUAGUGUUGUUAUUGUAACACCUCCCAGAUUUAAGCUCAAAGGACAUGUAAGGCUACACCAACAUGAAAUAAAUCUGGGAGGUGUUUCAAUAACAAUGCUAUCAUUUCUUUGUGAACUCGCAUGUUGUGGGGCCGCAAGUUGAUCUCAUGGCCGAUUUCUCGGAAAAAAAGCACCGAAUGCAUAUACAAGAGAAUGUAGGAUGGCAUAUUGCUCGGACGAUAAUGGGUGAGUAAUUUGUACAUGAUUCGUGAAUUCCAAAUGAGUAUGAAAUAUUUCAUAGCAUAAAAGGCAAUGAAGUAGUACAGGAGAAGGUAUUAAAUAUGAAGGAGAGAAGUUUGCAUUAUGCAUAUUGUAUGAAAUGGUAAUUUUAUUCUCUGGAGUAAGAAAUGAUAGCCAGAAGUAUCAACUAUUCAAUAUAACUAUGUAAAAUGUGAAGAUAAUUUAUAGGUUGCUAAUGGUAUAACCUCCCCCUUCAUUUAUAGCCAAGUCUAAUUGUAUUUAUGAAAUUGUACACCUAAAUUCCUUCCACGAGCUAUUAGAUCUGCCUCAUCCCCUUUUAGCAUCUUCACUCACCAUGGUUUCACACCUAUUAACAGUACAUUGAGGUCGGCGCAGGAUAUGAUCAAACCAUUUCAAGCGACCUUCUCUCAUUUUAUCCUCAAUAUGUAAUACUUGCACCUUCUGGUGAAUGUCAUCAUUAUUUAUCUCAUCUUUUAUUGUUUGACCAAACAUCCAUCUUAGCAUCGCAUCUCGACAACACUCAUCCAGUGGAUAUGGUGUACUAUAGUGGCCCAACAUUCAUACCAUAUAACAAUUCAGCCCUAAUAACUGUUUUACCAAACUUACUUUUCACUUUGGUAGACAUCUAUCUAUCCCAUAACACCCCAGUAGCACCUCAUUUCACCCAUCCAAUUUUAAUUCUAUCAGCAACAUCUUUAUAUAUCAUUCCCUUUUCCGUGGAACAACGAGCCUAAAUAUCUGGAUUGUUUGUACUUAGGCACAACAAUCAUGUCUAGUCUCACCUCAACUUCACUCUUCUCAUGUUGACUAAACUUGUAGUACAUAUUUUCAGUCUUAACAUCUACUUAUCCUAAAUUCGUUUCCCAUAUAUCACAUGUCAAAUAUCUGAAUUACCACAUAGGGGGCUUUAAGUGAGCAACCAUUGUUUUCUCCAUACAUAGUUCCACCAUACUUCAAGUCAAAUUCAGAUUUAGAAGCUAUUUAUAAUAUAUUGCUAUUUUAACAUCCAGUGCCAGCGACCUAUGUUUUAUUGUCCCACUAAAUAUCGUAUAAAUGUUAAAUAUGCUUCAGGUAUUUUACAAAACUGGAUCUUACGUUCAGGAUUCAACAAGUUCAACAGUUUCUGCUUUAUCCACACACGCACAAAAAAAAAAAAAAAGCAAGUUAUGUUUUCAGCCUACUCAUUACACUGCACACUCCAAAUUACAGAGCAGUAGCUUCUGAGGAUGGUGUAUCUAUUGAUGGUUCUACACUGCAAUCAUAUCAAAUAACGAGUUACUAGUUGUCAAUAACUUCACAAUGGGUGCAACAGCAUGCUAACUAUUUCUAGGGAGAACACUGUUCAGACUCUACCAAACCGUGAGCAAGUUUAUUCUAGUACAAUUUAAAGACUACAGAAAACGUAUUACAGUCAAAUGACCUAAAGGAGCACACCCAGCAUAAGCCCAUUCCUGCAGACCCCUUCCAACUGAUGUCAUUAAGAUCUUGUAGAACACUAAGAAAGCUUAGCACACACAACGCCAAUGGGACCCUCCAAUAAGUCUAUUGGAGGCUCUGUAUUGAUGGAAUCUCAUCAUCCAUACAUAACGAAUUCCCGGUCUCCUUUCGAAGGAGAGAUCUUCACAUUCCUAAUCCGAUCAGAUUGGAUGGCUUGAAAAAAGACCCAUUUACAAAAGCUCCAUAGAAUCCUAAGAUGAAUCAUUCAACUCACAUUUCCCAGAAAAAGAACACACAUCACAAAGUUGGAAGUUACCUUUACAGAGGAGCCUUUAAUAUCAUUUGGCAGCCUUACAUAUGAUGAUUUAGAAAUUCCUUCAAUGGAACUUGGACCUCUAGGACCUGGUGAACUCUUAACUGAACUUGCAGCGACAUCAGCCAUUGGCACAUCCUGAUCAGAGGCACUAGUUGGUCCAUUUUCCUUUGCUGAAGCCCUCUCGGUUAUUCGUGUCAAAGCAGAGGCUAUAUUUUCUACAAGCCAGUCAUGUACUUGAGCUGCAGGAACAGGAACAGCAGGCAUCUCUGGAUCUGAAUUGGCAAAAAAUGGGGCAUUCUGACUCAAUGGGAUUCUCUCAGAUCCCUUUUCACCAAAAUAGAUUAGGAAGCCAAGAUGCUCCAAUUUCUCCAUAGACAAGACCUAUGUGUCAAGCAACUAGAUUAGCUUCUCAGCAUACCUUUUAAGCCAAAACUGUAUGAAAACAAACAACGGCACAAAAUGGAUGCAUAUAGAGGGUCUGUCAUUAGGCAUCCUCAUUAGUCAAGUAGCAAGUGUUCUAGCACGUUUCAGUUUCUUGUGCACUAUCUUAGUACAUUUGUGUGAGUAAAAUUUUUAUUUGCAAAAAGAAUACCUAUUGAGUAGCAUGUCUCGUGAAGUUCACACAAAUCAAAUUUGACUAAAUUUGGUAGGCAACUAUCCUAAACAUAUAAAACAACAACAAUGGAAGUAUAGCACAGUAUUGAAUCCACAAACCAGUGAUUCUUCACCAUCUCCUUCCACUGACUCUGCCAAAAGAGACAGAAUGUUUCCCAAGUGUUUCUGUAAGUAGGAUAAUUGAUGAGCCUCUUCAUCAGCCUGAGAUGGCAUAGACCGACGACUAUUGCUGCGCACAAGCUGCAAUUUCAAAACAAAUCUUUUGGAUAAUACAUUACAGAAGAACAUGAGAAAUUGACAAUUAAAUUAUAAUCCAUUAACAGCAACAAACAACACAUGCUCAGUGAAAUUGUUAAAACUGAAACUAAUUGUCAGUGACGAAUAGUUAAUUGAGAUUCAACAUAAUAAAUCUUGAUUUCAACAAACCAUGACCUGUGAAAAAUUGCUGAACCAGUAAGAUCGAAAAACUUUUAUUGAUCAGACAGUUCCAGUUUUUUUCCAAAAUAAAAAAGGAAAAAGAGGUGUCAAAAAGUAUGUACAAAAUUUCUAGUCAUCCUCGAGCUCAAGCUCGAUCAGCUAUCAACACAAUAAGGUUAUACCAAAAAGACAAAUGAAAGAUCUUUAAAUGCUUUCUACAUCAUUCUUUUCUUUUCUUUUUUGAACAGGUAACGCAACUUUCUACAUCAUUCUCACUAUUCUGAAACAAUUUACCAUUUCUUUCGUCCAACAAAACCAAAAUUCAGCCUUCCAACUUUCAUAUGCCUUUAACUGUUAAUGGAGCGAUUCCACUGCCACAAGGCUCCAGUCCGAGUGGCUCAGGUAAAGGGAAUUGUAGACAGCCUUACCUCCUCAUUCGAGAGAUUGGUGCCUUGGAAUUCUGGUCACCCUAAAUGCAGAGGGCUUCUCCAUUGCUCCAAGGCCAGCCUUCAUACAUUUGACUCUUAUGGUUACUUAUAAUCUUUGAUUAAGAUAACUAAUUACCAUCUUGGAGCCCCAAAAAAUACCAUCAGAUUUUAGAAGUAUUACUUAUAAAUUAUUACAUUAUACAGUAUUCUGAUAAUUGAUUAUAAUACAGAAGCUAUUUUCACCUAAAUUCUCAUCAUACUCUGCACUUGUAGAAAUAAAAAAGAUAAAAGUUUUCUAGAUAGCAUCAUGGAAAAGGUAAUACUUUGAUUAGAUAAAUAAGAUGACAAGAUCUUAAAACCAAUAACAGAGAGACAGGAGGGGCUUGUCAAAAGGAAAAAUAAAAGAAGGAUUAGUAAACUAAACACUAUUAAGAUCUGUAAUGGACUCGAUAAUAGACAAAUAAUGCAGUUGAAAUACUUUGGUUAAUCCAAGUUCAUCUGGUCCCUGCUUCUGAACUAAAAGUUAAAGAUUCAACUGCUAGAACAUUCUCGUCCUUAAAACUAAGCACCAUGUCGAUCAGUUCUAAAGAUAGCUGAAGAAGAAACAGUGAUUUUAUCACACAAAUGAACCAGGCUUUGGAAUCAAAUAUUCAAAGUGCCUCCAGAAACUACUCAAAUAAUACACUGGAGGAGCAUGGGAGGUAAUUCAAUGAAUUACUAGCAUACAUUAUUGCACAGCUUCAAAGUUACCAUCACAAAACAAGGAAUAAUGAACUAAUAUAAUGCCUUUUCCUGAUAAAGCAACCUCCAUCGGAAGUUAGAAUCAAAAGACCACAAACUUAUACAACUGAACUUGGCACCAGGCAUAGAAACUUCAUUCUCGAAUUCCGACUCAACCCGGUAAAACAAUUCAAUUCCAGCUUCAUUACAUGUUUAAAACCUACUUAUUAAAGAAAGCAUCUUUAAGAACAAAAGAGUAUCCAAUAACUAAUUAUCACCUAAAACACUAAAAUACAAAUGAUAAAUCCAUUCACUUCCCAAUUCGAAUAUACAGUUUCAUAAAAUAGAAUCGGAUUUACAAAACACAGAUGCCUAACCUGCAACGGCGAAAGAGCCGAUAAGAAACCGUCGAAUGCAGAAGUAGAAGGCCAAACAUCAGCUACUGCAGCGGAAUCCUUAUGUCCUUUAGGAAGCAACCUUUUAUAACUUUGAAUGUACAAAAACAUCAUCAAAUCAAACACGUUUACACCAACGGAACCGAUCUCUGACGGCUUAGCAGUGACGCUGGGAUCAGAAUCGGAAUGAAGAACCGAUGCGAUUGUCUCAAUGACAAGACGAGCAUGGUCAUGAGAGAUCUGAAAUGCUUCAGCAAUUGCUUCAAAAUUAACUCGAUGAAUCGAUCCAGAUGAUAAGGAUAAGAGCUUAUCACGAAUUGGAAUAAGAGUUUGGGCUCCAUCGGUGAAGAUAAGUUUAGGGAUAGGGAGAAGUCCGUGUUCGAAAGGUUCUCUUCGCGGAUGUAUGUAAACAGGUGGAGUGGACACCGUUGACGGCGUCGAUGGCGGUGGUUGUUCGUCGGAUUCCGGCAUGGCUUUGUGAGUGAAUUGACGGAAAAUGAGGUUGAGAAAAUGGGAGAGAUCAAAUGUCAGUGAGAGAGGAAUAAUUUACCCGGUUCGGGUUCACUUACGGGCCAGAUCCAGCCUGACCCGGCCUAAUGACCAUAAAUUCUACUUCUAAUAUUUAUUAUUAAAACAAAUUAAUCAAAUUAAAGUAAAUAUUUUUUGUUUUUUUUUAAUCAUUAUAUUAAUUAAAAAGAUAAAAAUAUUUAAUGUCUCACUUGUUUGCAGUUAAUGAAGGUUUGAAAAGAGGUACAAUUCGAUUAGAUCUAAACUUUAGUCUUAAAAUCAUUCAAUGCUAUUUAUUCAACUAUUCCCUUCGUCUAAUAAUAAUUAUUCAUUAUAUUAUUUUGAGAUGUCCACUUUAUAAAAUUAAUGGACAAUUUUACAUUUAGGGUAUGUUUGGAAAGCCACUUGGUAAUUGGAAUUGGUGUAAUUACUAGGGUAGUAAUUACCAGCCUACUAAUUACACUGUCUAGUAAUUACACUGACCUGUUUGGUUGUCACAGUGUAAUUACGCUGUAAUUACACAUGUCUUGUUUGGAUGUCACAGUGUAAUUACACAUGUUCUGUUUGGAUGCACAAUUGCAAUCAUAAAAUUAUAAUAAAUUUUAAAAAUAAAAAUUAAUUAUUUAAAAUUUAUACUAGACAAAUAAGAAACUUUAUAAAUGACAUUAAAUUAAAUAUUUAAGAUAUAUAUUCUUUUUUGAAAAUAUAUUAAUUAAUAAACAUAUUUUCUGUAACUAAUAUUAUGAAAAAAUAUUUGAUUUAUAUUUUUUCAAAUUAAUAUAUUUCAAUUGAAUUGAUUGUAACAACUAAAAGUAUGAAGUUUCUACGAACAUCGUGAAAUGCAUGUUUGAUAAAAAGAAUAAUAUAUAAAUAAAAUGUCAUAAAUUAUUAAAUGUUUGACAAAAAUAUAAUUUAUCAACUCUAAUUAAAAAAAUGACGUGCAAUGUAGAUUCAAUAUUACUAAAACAAAUGAAACUGAAAAUAUAACAUAGGUUAUAAAUUCAAAACAAAAAAUUUAACAUAAUACUCGCGUAAGUCUAAAACCUUACUUAACAAUAAAUUCUAUUUUAAUUUUAAAAUUAGAAUACUAAUAAAAUUAUGUUAAUGAGAAAAUAAGCAUGGCAUAAAGAAAUAGAUAAUACAAGAAAAUUACAUAGAAUCACGUAAAGUAAGGUUAAGAACAAGAAGAAAAUGAAAUAUAAUAAUAUAAAAAAUAAACUUUUGCAAAUUUUUAGAAUAAUAAAAAUAAAAAUAAAACUUAAAAUAAUAGAAGUAAAAAAAAUUAAAAUAGAAAUAAAAAAAAAAAUUAAAAAGUAAUCAGGUGGUUGGUAAUUACACCAUGUAAUUACCAGCAAUUCACAGCCUCUGCCUGUGAAUUGUAGAGUGUAAUUACCCCCUACCAAUUACACCAACUACCUGCUGACCAAGUAAUUACAUGUCCUUCCAAACAGGACAAAACAAUGUAAUUACACCAAUUACAUCAAAUCCAAUUACCAAGGUGUCCUUCCAAACAAAUCCUUAGUUCAUAAUUUAUCCUUAUUAUUAAUUAUAAUUGUUUUCUAUUAUAUCUUUCAAGACAGUGAAUUAUUAUAGUCAAAGUGUUAUGUACAUAGUAAAAUUACUCUUCUAUUUAUAGUUUCUUAUGAAAGGUACAAAGUCAACCGUGGACAAGUAUUAAACAGGUAAAAUAUUAAAUAAAUAUUUAAACAACAAAUGAUACAAUGCUUGAUAUAAUAUAGAUACAUUAGUAGUAAUAACUAAUACAUUUUAUUAGCUUAGUGAUCUUAUCAUAUUAUAUUAAUAUUUUCAAAUAUAUUAUUGAUAUAUUAAUUUAUUAUUAACAUAUUGUUUGAACUUUAUUAUGUGAAAUUAUAUUGAUUAUGUUAUUGUUUUUCUUAUCAAAUAAUAAACUUAUUUUAUUGAACUUUUACUCUUUUAAAUAUUUAAUUAUUAUUCUAUUUGAAUUGUAUAUUUGUUAUCUUUAUAAACAAAUAAAUUAUAUUUGUUAUCUUUAUAAACAAAUAAAUUAUAUAUAUUCAGAUAUUGAAAAAAGAAUAGUUUUACAUUCGGUGUUCAAUAACAUUUUAAUUAUUUAAAUGUGCAUUUAAAUUCAGACUUGUUAAUCUAAAUAAAAACAAAUGUGGCCUAAGCGUGCUUUAUUUUAAGUCCUCACUUCAUUCGGUAUGUAAAUUAAUAAUGUUAUUUGUUGUUUCAUUGUCGUGAGUAUUUGUUCUCACAGUAAAAAAAAAUUCAGAAAAAUAAUCUAAGAGCCCCUUUGGAUUGACUUUAAAAAAACUGUUUUUAAGUUAAAAAAUAAAAAGAUAAAUUUAAAUGAUUUUAAAAUAAAAAGUAAGGAAAUGCCUACUUUUUAUUUUUAUUUUUUUUAAAGCUAUUAUAUAGUUAUUUUAAGAUAUUUUUAAUCUUGCCAAACAGUUCCAGAAUGUGACAUUAUUGGCUUUAGACUUAAUUUAAUAGUUCAUAAAAAGAAAACAUAAAUCAUACAAUCUAGCAUGGCUUGCGACCAAUUGAACAAAAUUAGCAAAAUGAAGAUAGUAUUAAUCUGAUAUGACUUGUAAAUAAUUUUAACAAAUUAAGUGUAAUAAAAAUAGCACCAUUUCAGUUACUUGUAAAUAAUUUAACAAGAUAGACUUAAAAUGAAAAUAAUAUCAAAUUAUACUUGUAUGUCAUGUUCGUGUCACAAAUUACAAUAUAUUCUAGCAUAACUUGCCACAUUUAUAUGCCUAUCAUAAGUAAAUGUUUAUGAUUAUAAAUUUUUAAAUAAAAAUAUAAUUUUAUAAUAAUUUACUAGUCAACAAUAUUAAUAUAUAACUAGUUAUUUUUUUAAUGUAAUCAUUUUAUACCGUAUGAAUAAUUUCUUCACACUAAACACAAUUUUAUCUUCUUUAUUUUUUAAAAAUAAAAUUUGUAAAGAUGAAUUUUUCUCAAAGCACUUGUAUAUGCGAUUUGAGAAGAAUUCAUCGUUACAAAUUUUAUUUUAAAAAAAUAAAGAAGAUAAAGUUGUGUUUAGUGUGAAGAAAUUAUUCAUACUAUACAAAAUGAUUACAUUAAAAAAAUAGUAACUAGUUUUAUAUANNNNNNNNNNNNNNNNNNNNNNNNNNNNNNNNNNNNNNNNNNNNNNNNNNNNNNNNNNNNNNNNNNNNNNNNNNNNNNNNNNNNNNNNNNNNNNNNNNNNNNNNNNNNNNNNNNNNNNNNNNNNNNNNNNNNNNNNNNNNNNNNNNNNNNNNNNNNNNNNNNNNNNNNNNNNNNNNNNNNNNNNNNNNNNNNNNNNNNNNNNNNNNNNNNNNNNNNNNNNNNNNNNNNNNNNNNNNNNNNNNNNNNNNNNNNNNNNNNNNNNNNNNNNNNNNNNNNNNNNNNNNNNNNNNNNNNNNNNNNNNNNNNNNNNNNNNNNNNNNNNNNNNNNNNNNNNNNNNNNNNNNNNNNNNNNNNNNNNNNNNNNNNNNNNNNNNNNNNNNNNNNNNNNNNNNNNNNNNNNNNNNNNNNNNNNNNNNNNNNNNNNNNNNNNNNNNNNNNNNNNNNNNNNNNNNNNNNNNNNNNNNNNNNNNNNNNNNNNNNNNNNNNNNNNNNNNNNNNNNNNNNNNNNNNNNNNNNNNNNNNNNNNNNNNNNNNNNNNNNNNNNNNNNNNNNNNNNNNNNNNNNNNNNNNNNNNNNNNNNNNNNNNNNNNNNNNNNNNNNNNNNNNNNNNNNNNNNNNNNNNNNNNNNNNNNNNNNNNNNNNNNNNNNNNNNNNNNNNNNNNNNNNNNNNNNNNNNNNNNNNNNNNNNNNNNNNNNNNNNNNNNNNNNNNNNNNNNNNNNNNNNNNNNNNNNNNNNNNNNNNNNNNNNNNNNNNNNNNNNNNNNNNNNNNNNNNNNNNNNNNNNNNNNNNNNNNNNNUCUAGUUUUAUAUAUAUAUAUAUAUAUAUAUAUAUAUAUAUAUAUAUAUAUUGUUAUUAAUUAUUAUUAUUAUUAAUUUUUUUUUAAUAAAACUCACACAUGCAAGCAAGUCCCAACAGUAUCCUCCACCGCGACUCGUGUCGUAUGGUCAAACAAUAUAGGAUAGAUAAGUACUACCCAAAUUGCCAAUUAAAACCAAAAAGGAGGAAGUAUCUAAUUAUAAUUAUACAUAUAUUUUUAUCGUAUUUAUUAAUUAUCUAUGAUUUGUAAUAAUUAUAUUAUAUUUAAAUUUCAAGUCAGAUAGAUGUGAAUCACACUAGAUAUACAUGUAUCUUGUGUGAUUCGUAUGUAUUUGAGAUAUCAAAUACACGAACGAAAUACGAAAGUGACAAGUGAGAUUUAUUUAUAUAUCCCAGAUAUAUAUGAACACACAGAUAAGCAUCAUAAACAUUAUACAUGUAUCUAGAAUACUAGAUAUGCAAGAUAUGAGUGUCGCGAGCGAAAUAGGAGGGAAGCAAGUGAAAUUUGUGUAUGUAUAUCAGAUGUAUGCGAAUCCACUUGGAUAUAAUAUAUGUAGAACAAACUACACCUCUUUCUAAUCUCAUAUAUCUCGAGAUACAUGUAUCUAAAUACGCCAAAAUUGCUAAAAUUCACCUUUAAUAGAAAGUUUUGAUUCAAACCCUUAGGAAAUAUCAUAUUGAGAAUGUUGUCUAAGAAAUAGUUAUGCAACGAUCGAUCUAAAAUUAAUCAAACUUUAAUAUAGAUACCGAGCAAUAAAAAAUAAAAAAAGAUGCUACCUCCACCAACCACCCUGAAACACACAGAAAAAGCAGUUGUGCCACCUGCUCUGUUUUUCUCUCAAACUGUGAUGAGUCUUUGCAGUUUUUUUAUUCGAUUUUUUUUUUCUCUAUAGUCACUAUAUACUACAUUCUCCAUCAUUUUCAUUUUAUACCAAAAGAAACCAAAAUCCCUUUUCAUUUUUCUCUUCAAAGCUCCCAGUUUUCAGAAUCUUUUCAUCGUCAGCAUCCCUGAACCCACAUGGUAUAUUCAUUUAUUUAUCAUAUAAAGUUGGGUUCUUUGUUUGUUUCUUUCUAAUAUAAAUGUGCCUUUAAAAAUUGCUGUUUUUGGGUUUUUGUUCAAUGCUUGUCUGGUUUUACUUUCAUGGUGUUUGUUAAGCUGUAAUGUAGUUGUAUUUUUCUGCAUUAAAGAUUCUAUCUUUUUGUGAGGAAGUGAAAAGGGUCUUUCUUGAUUGAGUUAGUUAGACCAUUUUCGUAUAAACUUCUUUGUUUGUAUUGUUGCUAUUGUUAUUUUGCCUUUGAUUUAAUUUGUGUGGUUUCUCAACUUUUUGUUUCUGAUUUUUGAUGUUAUGCAGGGUGAAAAGCUUUAGGUUUUUCUUGAUUUCAUCUUUUAGGCUUGCUUAAGACUGUUGUAUUAGAAGAUUGUUUAGCAUUAGAGUAGUUUGAGUUGUCUCUGCUGAGAUUUGUUGAUCUGUAGUGGAGAAGUAGUCUUGAAAAUGCAGAGACCCCCACAAGAAGAUUUUUUACUAAAGGAGACCAAACCCCACCUUGGUGGAGGGAAGGUCAUGGGUGAUAAGCUUACUAGUACCUAUGACUUGGUUGAGCAAAUGCAGUAUCUUUAUGUGAGGGUGGUGAAAGCAAAGGAUUUGCCAGGGAAGGAUGUUACGGGUAGUCUUGAUCCUUAUGUUGAGGUUAGGCUUGGAAACUAUAAGGGUACAACUCGUCAUUUCGAGAAGAAAUCGAAUCCGGAAUGGAGUCAGGUGUUUGCUUUUUCCAAGGAUAGGAUUCAGGCUUCUGUACUUGAGGUGAAUGUGAAAGAUAAGGAUUUUAUUAAGGAUGAUUUUGUUGGUUGUGUUAUGUUUGAUUUGAAUGAUAUCCCUAAAAGGGUUCCCCCGGAUAGUCCUCUUGCUCCACAGUGGUAUAGGUUGGAGGAUAGACAUGGUAAUAAAGUUAAAGGAGAGUUGAUGUUGGCUGUUUGGAUGGGUACUCAAGCUGAUGAAGCCUUUCCUGAAUCUUGGCAUUCAGAUUCUGCAGCUGUUACUGGUGCCGAUGCUCUUGCAACUAUAAGGUCUAAGGUGUACCUCUCACCAAAGCUGUGGUACCUUAGAGUUAAUGUGAUUGAGGCUCAGGACUUGAUUCCCGGUGACAGAAGUAGGUUUCCAGAAGUUUACGUGAAGGCCAUCCUCGGAAAUCAGGCAUUGAGAACCAGAGUUUCCAUGAGCAAGACUAUUAAUCCCAUGUGGAAUGAGGAUCUGAUGUUUGUAGCAGCAGAACCAUUUGAGGAGCCAUUGAUUUUGAGUGUAGAAGAUAGAGUUGCACCAAACAAGGAUGAAGUACUUGGAAGAUGUGCUAUUCCUUUGCAAUAUAUAGAUAGGAGGUUGGACCACAGACCUAUUAAUAGUAAGUGGUAUAAUCUUGAAAAGCACAUUAUCGUCGAGGGAGAAAAGAAGGAAAUCAAAUUUGCAAGCAGGAUUCACAUGAGGCUGUAUUUGGAAGGAGGCUACCACGUGCUGGAUGAAUCAACACACUACAGCAGUGAUCUAAGACCAACUGCAAAGCAAUUGUGGAAGUCCAGUAUUGGUGUCCUAGAGUUGGGUAUACUAAAUGCUCACGGCAUUUCGCCGAUGAAAACAAAAGAUGGACGGGCUACAACAGAUGCCUAUUGUGUUGCCAAGUAUGGGCAGAAGUGGGUUAGAACAAGGACAAUUAUUGAUAGCUUUGCUCCCAAGUGGAACGAACAAUACACUUGGGAAGUAUUUGAUCCCUGCACUGUCAUAAAUAUUGGUGUUUUUGAUAAUUGCCAUCUGCAAGGAGGAGAUAAGUCUGGUGGGGCUAAGGACUCGAGGAUUGGGAAGGUCAGGAUCCGUCUUUCAACUCUAGAAACGGGUUGUGUCUACACGCAUUCUUAUCCACUUCUGGUUUUGCAUCCUACUGGGGUGAAGAAGAUGGGUGAAAUUCACUUGGCUGUAAGAUUUACUUGCUCAUCAUUAUUGAAUAUGAUGCAUAUGUACUCUCAGCCACUGCUGCCCAAAAUGCACUAUAUUUAUCCUUUAACUGUUAGUCAGCUGGACAACUUGAGGCAUCAAGCCACUCAGAUUGUCUCUAUGAGGCUGAGUCGUGCUGAGCCGCCUUUGAGGAAAGAGAUAGUGGAGUAUAUGUUAGAUGUCGGUUCUCACAUGUGGAGUAUGAGGAGAAGCAAAGCUAACAUUUUUAGAAUCAUGGGUGUUUUAGGUGGAUUAAUUGCUAUUGGGAAAUGGUUUGAUCAAAUUUGCAAUUGGAAAAAUCCCAUUACGACUGUUCUGAUCCAUAUCUUGUUCUUGAUACUAGUUCUAUAUCCGGAGCUUAUUCUGCCAACCAUUUUCCUCUAUCUCUUCUUAAUCGGAGUUUGGUACUACAGAUGGAGGCCUAGACAUCCUCCCCACAUGGACACACGUCUUUCUUGUGCUGAUAAUGCCCAUCCUGAUGAAUUAGACGAAGAGUUUGAUACUUUUCCUACUUCACGUCCUCCUGAUAUUGUUCGGAUGAGGUAUGACCGUAUGAGAAGUAUUGCUGGAAGGAUACAGACUGUGGUUGGUGACUUGGCUACUCAAGGGGAGAGGCUGCAGUCUUUGUUGAGCUGGAGAGACCCUAGAGCAACCGCGCUGUUUGUUAUUUUCUGCUUGAUUGCUGCCAUUGCGCUGUAUGUCACGCCCUUCCAAGUUGUGGCUCUCGUGACUGGAUUUUACGUGCUGAGACAUCCGCGAUUUCGCCAUAAGCUACCAUCUACUCCAGUGAAUUUCUUCAGAAGAUUGCCUGCCAGAACAGACUGUAUGCUAUGAGCUGUACUGUUAGUUGCUGCUAUCCAUUUUCCCUUUGUCUCUUAGUUGAUGAAAUUGAUGUAGAAAUGAGCAAGGCUUUGGGUUUUUUUCUUCUAUGAAACUGCUUAGAUGUAGUGAAUUUUCUGUUGAAAGUUGGCUGUUAGAUGCAAUUCCAUAUUACUAGUACUAAUCUUCUGUUUCUUUCUUUUUCUGAACUUUCUCAAUGAUUAAUCAAUGUAUUGCUCUUUUCAUUAGUCAUAAAUUUGUUGUUUUUUUGAAGUGUACAAUAAUAACAUUCCCGUGUAAUUUCACAAGUGGGGUCUGGGGAAAAUAGUGUGUACACAGACUUUACUCUUACAUUGUGAAGAUAAAGAAGUUGUUUCUGAUAGACCUCCGUUGGCUUAAGUAAAGCAUAUCAAAGCAGGUUCGAAAAAGAAAUACACUAAUGUAGAAGCCAUGUUGAAAAUAAAAGGAAAAAAUAGUAACAACAACAAAUAAUAUGACAGUAGAAGCAAAAAGAACAAUAUGUAACAAUCAAAUCGAAGAAAAAGAUAGGAGGAGAGUAAUAAUAAUAAUAGUGAAAAGGAAAAUUAGAUACCGUUUGACUACCUAUUAGCUUCUUUUGUGAAGAUUAAUACUUUCUUAGGGUAGGUGAAAGGACAUGUUGAUAUUUUAUGAGUUCUCAUUAUUUUACUAGAUUUGGUGUUGAGAAUGUCAAGACAUUGAUGUUUUAGAUUUGUAAUAUAUUAAUUAUUGUAUCAUUAUUAAUUUAAUGAGGAAUAAUUGUGUUUACCAUUGUAGUAUAAUACAAGUUGGUGAUAUUUGUAUAAUACAACUUGAUAACAAAACAAUAUAGAGAUUCCUGCAACCUUUUGUGAUGCUUUAUAUGAUGUUGGAUCUGGAAUAUUAGUAUAAUAAUAAUAGUACCUAUCAAAGCAAAUAACUUAUUGUAAAAAGUAAAAGGAAAAAAAUACAUUUUUUUAUAUAUCAACUCUACCUUUAAUCUUGGAACAAUGGUAAAUGUCUUCAUAUAAAUUACAAGUCACAAAUUCAAAUUGUGAAAUCGACAAUGAUAUUUACAUCAAGAUAGACUGCCUACAAUCACACUCCUUAGGAAUGCAACCAUUUCUCAAAUCCAACGUGAAUGCGGAAGACUUAGCAUAUUAAAGAAUAAUCGUGAUGUUAAGACAAACUUGUCCCCUAUUUAAUUAUUCCGCCAAGUACUUACAUUUUCCAUCGGGUAAUUUUUUCCACCAAUAUUUAAGUAGGUAGGAAGAAAUCGCCUAAUAUUUACCCGCAUCACUAGAGUUAUCAUUUACAUACAACAAUUUUAAAUGAGAGAAAUUCAAAGUUAGUGUAUCCAAAGAACAAAAGAUACAAUUCAAAACCUUUGGAACUUGAAAUGUUGCUUUAUUUGAGUAAAAGAUCUAUUGAAAACAACCUCUCUACCUUCACAAUAUACGAAAAAGAAUGCAUAUAAACUCCACUUGUGCGAAAACAACUUCUCUACCUUCACGAUUACGGAAAAGAAUGCGUAUAGACUCCACUUGUGCGAUCAUCCGAGUAUUUUCUUAUUUUACCUUUACCAACUUCCCCAUUUAUAGGGUUGUGUAGGUGCACUAAUUUUCCAGAUCCAACAGCAUUAUAAAGAAAUAAAAAAACAUAGUUGCAGGAUCUUUAUAUUGUUGUCUUCAUAAACAGACAAACAUCACCAGUUUAAAUAAUGUCAACUUGCAAUAUACAAACAAUGCUAAGUACAAUAAUUCUCUCUUUACAUUAAAUAUUUGUAGAAACAUCAUUGUCAGACAUUCCAAAAACACAAAAAAUGCUUCAUCCUUAAGGAAAACAAAUUUAUCAAGAAAUCAAACUGAUCUUGAAUGCUUGCACCUCCAUUCCGAUAACAACACGAGUAGGGUCUGAAGAGGAUGGUGUAUACGCAUACCUUACUCCUACCUUGAGAAGAUAGAGAAGUUGUUUUCGAUAAACCCUCAACUCAAGUAAAGCAUUUCAAAGCAGGUAUGCAUGGGAAUACAGUAGCGAAGAUGCAUCCAAUAUCAAGUCAAUAAAAAUCGAAACAGUAACUUGAAUAAAGAGAGUACUUCGAAUUAAUCAUGGAGCAUGUUUUUCAAAAAGAAAACAUCCACAAGACAACAAAUAUAGAUUUGCAUCAAAGCAGCAAACUUUCAACAAACUUAGAAUGAAUUAAACAGUAAAUCUACUAGAUCUAAACAGUUCAAGGAGAUCUUACACACAAAAGCAGGACCCAACAUUCACCAGUAGGUGCAGGACAAAAAGAGCCAGACACAUUUACAUCAAUUCGAGACACAGAGAGAAGCACAUAGUAUGAUAAAGAUAACAUAAGGCAAAGGUACGGUUCUCAUAGCAUACAGUCUGUUCUUGCGGGCAGUCUUCUGAAGAAAUUAAGUGGCGCAGAUGGUAGCUUGUGACGAAACCUUGGAUGUCUCAGUACAUAAAAUCCUGACAAGAGUGCCACAACUUGGAAGGGUGUCACGUAGAGCACAAUGGCAGCAAUCAAGCAGAAAAGGACAAACAGCGCGGUUGCUCUAGGGUCUCUCCAGCUCAACAAAGACUGCAGCCUCUCCCCUUGAGUAGCCAAAUCACCAACCACAGUCUGAAUCCUUCCAGCAAUACUUCUCAAACGGUCAUACCUCAUCCGAACAAUAUCAGGAGGACGUGGAGUAGGGAAAGUAUCAAAUUCCUCAUCCAGUUCGUCAGGAUUAGCAUUAUCAGCACAAGAAAGACGAGUAUCCAUGUGAGGAGGAUGCCUAGGCCUCCAUCUGUAGUACCAAACUCCAAUUAGGAAGAGAUAAAGGAAAAUGGUUGGCAGAAUAAGCUCCGGAUAUAGAACCAGUAUCAAGAACAAGAUAUGGAUCAGAACAGUUGUGAUGGGAUUUUUCCAAUUGCAUAUUUGAUCAAACCAUCUUCCAAUAGCUAUUAAUCCACCUAAAACACCCAUAAUCCUAAAAAAAUUAGCUUUGCUUCUCCUCAUACUCCACAUGUGAGAACCAACAUCUAACAUAUACUCCACUAUUUCUUUCCUCAAAGGUGGCUCAGCACGACUCAGCCUCAUAGAGACAAUCUGAGUGGCCUGAUGUCUCAAGCUGUCAAGCUGAGUAACAGUUAAAGGAUGAAUAUAGUGCAUUUUGGGUAACAGCGGCUGAGAGUACAUAUGCAUCAUAUUCAUUAACGAUGAGCAAGUAAAUCUUACUGCCAAGUGAAUUUCACCCAUCUUCUUUACCCCAGUAGGAUGCAAGACCAGUAGCGGAUAAGAAUGUGUGUAAACACGAUCUGUUUCGAGAGUUGAAAGACGGAUCCUGACCUUUCCAAUCCUCGAGUCCCUAGCCCCUCCAGGUUUAUCUCCUCCAUGCAGAUGACAAUUAUCAAAUACACCAAUAGUUAUGACAGUGCAAGGAUCAAAUACUUCCCAAGUGUAUUGCUCAUUCCACUUGGGAGCAAAGCUAUCUAUAAUGGUCCUCGUUCGGAUCCACUUCUGCCCAUAUUUAGCAACACAAUAGGCAUCUGUCGUUGCCCGAUUAUCCUUUGUUUUCAUCGGCGAAAGGCCCUGAGCAUUCAGAAUACCUAAUUCUAGGACACCUAUACUGGACUUCCACAGCUGCUUUGCAGUUGGUCUAAGAUCACUGCUGUAGUGUGUUGAUUCAUCCAGCACAUGGUACCCUCCUUCCAAAUAUAGCCUCAUGUGAAUCCUGCUUGCGAAUUUGAUUUCCUUCUUCUUUUCUCCCUCAACGAUAAUGUGCUUUUCAAGAUUAUACCACUUACUGUUAAUAGGUCUGUGGUCCAACCUCCUUUCAAUGUACUGCAAAGGAAUAGCACAUCUUCCAAGUACAUCAUCAUUGUUUGGUGCAACUCUAUCUUCCACACUCAAAAUUAAUGGCUCCUCGAAUGGUUCUGCUGCUACAAACAUCAGAUCCUCAUUCCACAUGGGAUUAAUAGUCUUGCUCAUGGAAACUCUAGUUCUCAAUGCCUGAUUUCCCAGGAUGGCCUUCACGUAAACCUCUGGAAACCUACUUCUGUCACCAGGAAUCAAGUCCUGAGCCUCAAUCACAUUAACUCUAAGGUACCACAGCUUUGGUGAGAGGUACACCUUAGAUCUUAUAUUUGCAAGAGCGUCAGCACCACUAACAGUAGCUGCAUCCGAAUGCCAAGAUUCAGGAAACGCUUCAUCAGCUUGAGUACCCAUCCAAACAGCCAACAUCAACUCUCCUUUCACUUUGUUACCACUUCUAUCCUCCAACCUAUACCACUGCGGAGCAAGAGGACUAUCCGGGGGAACUCUUUUAGGGAUAUCAUUCAAAUCAAACAUAACACGACCAACAAAAUCAUCCUUAAUAAAAUCCUUAUCUUUCACAUUCACCUCCAGCACAGAAGCCUGAAUCCGCUCCUUGGAAAAAGCAAACACCUGAUUCCAUUCAGGAUUCGAUUUCUUCUCGAAAUGACGAGUUGUACCCCGAUAGUUUCCCAGCCUAACCUCAACAUAAGGAUCAAGACUACCCGUAACAUCCUUCGCUGGUAAAUCCUUUGCUUUCACCACCCGGACAUAAAGAUACUGCAUUUGCUCAACCAAGUCAUAGGUACUAGUAAGCUUAUCACCCAUGACCUUCCCUCCACCAAGGUGGGGUUUGGUCUCCUUUAGUAAAGUCAUAGGUGCUAGUAAGCUUAUCACCCGUGACCUUCCCUCCACCAAGGUGGGGUUUGGUCUCCUUUAGUGAAAAAUCUUCUUGAGGUGGUCUCUGCAUUUUCGAACCUUUCUACUUCUCCACCACAAUUAAGCCAAAUGUCCUAAAUUAUAUCUCUGAGAAACAACUCAAAAUUACACUAAUACUCAAGAAACUUCAUAUACAACACAAUCUAAGUUUGUUUUACCCUAAUUCUAACUUAAGGUUUAAAAAGAACCUCAUGAAGGAUAACCCCAAAACUCCCAAAAUCAUUCACAACCUCAGAUCUGGUUCACCUGAAUGCUUAACCCUGCAAAACCCACUUUUAUAUAUGAAAAACUAAGCUUAAAAAUCAUAUAAAUAAAUUUAAAAAAUAUCAACAAACUCAAUAAAAAAAAUAUCCUUCUCCCUUACCCAUAAAAAAAAAGAGGAAAAAAAUAAUUAAAUCUUCUAAUAUCAAGAUUACAACAAUAUUACAGCUCAACAACUACCAAGAAUGUAAAAAAAAUGAAUUUUUCAAGAAGACAUUUAUUAAACUUUUCAACAUGAAAUAAAAAAUGUUCAGAAAGAGAAAUGAAUAUACCUUGAAGGGUUCGUGGGAGAUGAGAGUGAAAGAUGGGAAUUUUGCUGAUAAGGUUGUAAAGAUUGGAAUUUUGAGGAGAAAAAGCAAAAGGGGUUUGGUUGCUUUUGGGUAUCAAAGUGAUGGAGAAUGGUAUAGUGAGGUGUAGAUGGAAAAAGUGAAGAGACAACAACAAGGGUAAAGAAAUAUAGAGAGAGAAAAGAAUAAAGUUAGAGAGAGAAAAGAAUAGAAAAAGACAGAGCAGGGUGGUGGGGGUGA